rnacentral:lncRNA from 1 species
AGAUCCCCUAGCUCGGCGACUUGGGGGACUCUUACUACAUGGUUUGUAUCGCGCUUGACCAAGCCUGAAACUACAAGUAAGCUUCAAGUGAAAUUGAUACAUUACCUUGUGUAUCUCCACCAGUUAAAGAUACCACCCCUGGAUGGAGGAAGAGUACUUCCAGAGAAGAUGCCACAUCUACCUAUGAGACGGAUAAGGCAAGUGAAGACGAUACCACACUUCAGUACUUAGAAGUUUCAUGAUUACUCAGCGGCUUGGAUCUUGCAAGUCCCCAACCGAGGAGCUUCCCUCACUCGGGAACUCAGGGGAGCACUGUUUGUACCAUACUUGACCAAUACCGAAACUACCGAGCACCGAUCAACGUUACAUCGUCAAGGACUCAGAAGAGUUUCCCUCCAACCAGGAGGCCAAUCACAUAGCGACACGUGUGGACAUCAGAAGCCAAUCAUAGCGCGACACGUGUCAACAUCGGAAGCCAAUCACAACACGAUACGUGUCAAUGUUAGAACAAGGCUAGAAACUCUCUUCUAUAAAAGGAGAUCAUUCUCCCACAAUAUUUCCUAAUGUCAUUUGUACUAAAUCAUUCACUUGUACUCACUAAAGAAGAGCUUGAACCUAUGACUUGUGUAAACCCUUCACAAUUAAUGAGAACUCCUCUACUCCGUGGACGUAGCCCGAGAUAAAGUAGGAGUAGUCGAAAUUGAAGGAAAGAUGAGAGAAAAUCGGUUACGGUGGUUUGGACAUGUGCAAAGAAGGCCUACUGACGCUCCAGUUCGAAGAUGUGACUUCGGGACAGAGGUUCAAGGUCGAAGGGGUAGAGGAAGACCUAGGAAAACUUUGGAAGAGACCCUAAGAAAAGACUUAGAGUACUUGGAUCUAACGGAGGACAUGACACAAAACCGAGCGCAAUGGCGUUCUAUGAUUCAUAUAGCCGACCCCACUUUGUGGGAAAAGGCUUUGUUGUUGUUGUAUUUGUUAAGAUUAUCUUCCUUUCUUCUAAAUACCGAGUUUUAUGAGAUCUAUUUGGCAAGUCUAAAAUCGGAUUGCGUAUGUUUAUAUCUUCCUUUCUCCUAAAAUGAGUUUUAUGAGAUCACACCAUCUUAUGUUUAUUAUAUAAUCUUCUGAAGUCAGAAGAAUUAUCAUCUUUUCCCUUUUAGAUUUCAACAUAUUUGGAAAUACGUCAAUUUUUUUGUAGUGCAGUUUGUGAUUAACAUGAUUACAUAAGUUCUGUUUUUGUAGUAAAUUUUUAUGCAGGAAAGUCAGUCACUUCUCAUUUUUGUAUAUGGCAGAGUAGAGUGGGGGGUGACUUAAAAUUCAGCUUUCUUUCCUCCCUAUUUGUUACUUUUUUUCGACUACAUAAUAGUUCUAUGACUCGAGCCCUGUUUGUAAUACUCAUUUAUAUACAAAUAAACUUAGUCGUAUUGUGAUCAGACAAAGCAGUGGAGGUAGUGUGUUUGAUGCCAUGUUACAUGAGAGCUGAUCAUAUGAAUUUUUUGGGAUCAAUUGACGUUGACUAAUCACUAAUUUGAAAUACUUAAACUAUAACUUUUCUUUAAUUCCUUUUCCUUUUGUAUUUUUAUUGGAUUCGUUUCAUUUUUCUGCUUGAUUUAUAUUAAGAAUGUUUGCAACUUAAUACUUACUUUAAAUAUGUUAAUUUGUCCUAUUUUGUAUAAAAUUUUGUGCAAUGUGAAUGUGGGUUAUUCUCAAUCUUCAGAUGGUGAUUAUUUGACAACUUCUGCAACCAUGCCUACUAAGCCUUUAAAAUGCAGAGCUGAGGAUGAGAGGAACCGGAUGACGUAGACUGCAUCCAUUCGAUUUUCCUAAAUUUGGUUGAUAUCUUCUGACUGCAUUCAUUCCCGAUAAAUGUUCCUGCUUUUGUGUUCAAUUUAUUAAUUCAAAUUAUGUGCUAAAAUUCUUUUGCAGAGAGGAAGUGAUGUUCCACAUAAAAAUUUGAUCUUUUUUUCUUAUCGGGUGCGUUACAUUUUGGUUGAUCAUGUCACAGGAGGUCGUUUUAAUGCAGGUAAACUCUAAAGCUCUGUAAUUUCUCUUCUGUUCUUUCUUUUCGUUUGCUUUGUAUUGUGCUAGUCGGCUGAGAGUUGUCUAUGUUCUUUAUCAAAGGAAGUGAAUUUUGAGAUUGCCAUGAACAAUAUGUUGAUUAUAAGUCAACAAUCUGUGAUAAUUUAUAUAUGCUAAUAAAUAAUAAAUACAAUAGAAACUAACAGAAUAUAAACUAGAAUAUGAAUUAUAAAACAGACAACUUGAAGAUCGAGGCUUGCGUACCGCAAUGUCCUUGAAACAGAAAUUUCGUCCCUACUCUGUGCUUGUAGUUCUACGGACGUCUGCUUCACCAGGAUUCAACGAUCAAGUUAAAAUUCCAGCACUGGAAAAUUUAACUUCUGGCGAAUUUAGUGUGGUUAUCUCAGUAAGAAGGUUUAGGAAUGUAGAAGAUGAAGUUGAUUAUUUUCUGUGUUCUAAAUGCUAUGCAGAUGGAUGUAUAUAUAGCAGAUGGAUGCCUGUUUGCAACAGUUAUGAGAAUGGGGUGUGACUGUUGGGAGACAUCUCUUCAGAGGGUGCUUUGCUCUGUGUUCAGAAAGAACUCUCAGACUUCAUCUGAAAGGAUGAGUCUUUUCAUAAAAAAUAAAUAAUUAAUUUAAUUCGAAUUUAAUUAAAAAAUAAUUAAGUAAAUCCGAAAAAUAAAUAAUUAAUUAUAUAUUAAUUACCAAAUAAUUAAUACACCCCAAAGCCCAACCCCAAAGGUGAGCCCAAUUUUAGUCUCCAGGCCUAUUACUCCAAUCACUUUCUUUAAAGGACAAAGCCUUAUAAAGUGAUAAAAUCUUUUGGGAAUGGUCAAUGUGGGACAAAGAAAUUCCUACUCAAACUACUCAAAUUUCCAACACAAUAUUGCUUUUGUACACUUUGAAGAGCUUAUGCUCCAAUUGAAGUAAGUUUUCGUUACUUUCAUUGUACUAUUAGUGUUAGCUUCUUCCUCUCAUGAUCUGCUUGUUUUCAAGGAUUACUAUCCUCAUUUCGAUACAUCUUUCGUGGGGUUUUGAGUUCAGGGGAGUGGCAAAAGUUGGGGAACUUGUAUACUUUGAAGCAGGCAUGGACAUCAUGGAUCUUCUUUACGAAAAGGAGGAGAUAUUGAUGCUCUACACCAAUCCUGGCACGUUUACAAAACAGAAUCUUAGUACUAGUAAAUGUUGCUAAUUUUGGUUUGUUGUUCUCUAAUUUUGUUUUUUAUGUUGUUUUGCAGGUUGCUUCAUAUAUCAUCACAGUACCUAAACAGAUGCUGGAAUUUCCCGUUCUUCCUUGGGGUAAGAUUUCUAGUUUCCUUACGCUCUUUUCUUUCGUGAUGUGCUUUGUGGAGGUUUUGUUUAUUCACCAUUUCGUGUUUUUACACCACUAUUGCAGCAUCUCAGUUAUUGAAUAUUUAUAAUCAAAAUAAUUAAUUUUUCUAAUUGCCCAAUUUUGCAGGUUUUGCAUCCAUAUUCACCAAGUCCAUCUCUAUUUCCAAUGCCUAGUUUCCAAAGGCGAAGUUGAGCCAGGUUGGGACUCUCUUUCUCUCUUCACCUUUUGUUUUAUUUCUCAAGGAAGUUGAUUGGGUUGAACAAAAAGGAAUAAAAAGAAAUGAAAACAAAUUGAAAUUUGUUGAUGCUUGUGUUGGUGUUGAAUUUGUAAUAUAUUAAGACCAAAAAAUUAGAGAAAUGGUUCACUUUGAUGUAAAUUGAUAACAUCAAGCCACUAGUUCAAAACAGUGAGUCUUACCUUUAGAAUGUUUUUGGGAUGUCAUAAUUGAUAACCAUAUCUACUAAUAAAAAAUUUAUCUACUCGCAAGUAUAUAUCUUGUGAAAUGUUGAGACUCAUAAAUUUAUCUGUUGAAAAAUUUAUCUACUUGUCGUGUGGAAUGUUAAGAGACUCAUACUUUCAAGUAUAUGCUUUUUAGGCAGUAGGUUGUAGGAAAUAAUAAAACUGUAAAGGCAUACUUUUGUGUAUAUUUUAGUCAUUUGAUCCAUGUGCUUAUGUGCUUGCAGGUAGAGGUAACAAUUAUUGAGGCUCAAGCAUUACGAGGAGCAUGUCACUCUUAAAAAACAUGUUUGGAGGUGUUCAAGAAAAUGUGAAGUCUUUUAUGUGGCAAUUUCCUUCAAAUUUGGUGCCUGUUUCGUACUUUGAAGGAUAGUUUCAUAUUUUUUUAGUAUAGCUCAUUGGUUUUAGACCUGGUUUUUAGACCUGAUUUUUUGAAUAUGUGAUUAGUUAUGGAAGACUACAGCAAACAUGCAAUUUUGUGUAGUCUAUUAACUAUAUAUAUAUAUAUAUAUAUAUAUAUAUAUAUAUAUAUAUAUAUAUAUAUAUAUAUUUGGGUGCCCAGAUUAAUGGGCCUUUUUUAAAAAAAAACAUAUUACAACAUUAGUCACCAAUGUGUAAAAAUUAUAUAAUAUUUCAAAGGUGUAACUAUUCAUUGUGCCACCAUUAUCUAAUUGGUAGUCAUUUUUUACAAUAGAGUCCUCUACAUAGGCCACACUACUAGUUUAGUGGGUGCUUGGUGGCCAUAGAGGUUUGCCACCAAUGUGAGUGGCAACACUUGACAAUAGCCACCAAAUGAAAGGGUGGCUUAUAGCCAAAUUUCUAGUAGUGAUCACAAAUUAGACUUGAUCACGAGAAAUAUCAAAUUGAUGAUAUCAACAACAAUAUGAGAAUCCAAAAAGGUAAUUUCUAAUGCAUAUGAGAAAACCCAUCACCCAAUCCAACAUCAUUUGCAGAUCCUACUUGUGAUGAAGGAUGGAGAAGCCAUCUAAACUAAAACUACAGAUUCAGAUGACAUUUUAGCUCCAAAGAAGAGUGUUGUACAGAAAAGAAGUUAUCUCAAGACAUUGGAUUUUGAUAUCAGACUGUCAGAGACGACCAUCGUCUUUAUCGUCCACCUCUAUGGAUCCCCACAUUCCGAAUUGUUGGUGAAGGAGGAGAAGGUAUAUCAAUACCUUGGAUUCAAAUGUUUAUGAUGUGAAACUCAGCAGUUAUCGACUUUAGUUUCACGUCAUAAGUUACUUCCUUUAUCGACUCUCUCACUAUAAACAGUUUUCACGAUGAAUAAGACAACUUCCGUCGCUUAAAUAUUGGCACGACGAAUUUUUCGUCACAAAGACGUCGUCGCGCAAAGAUUGUAAAAAAUGCGUUUACGCAACGAUGACAAAUCAAUUGGCUAUGCAAGGAUCCUUGCGCGAUGAAGAACAGGUUUGUCACCUAAAAUUCAAGGGAACAAAGUGUUACCGCGCAGAACUAAGGGGUACGACAUCAUGUCGUCAUGUUGAGUUUGUGGCAACGACAGAAAGUGGUUAUUAGGUAAGUCUAUGUGCAACGAAAAUAUUCAUGAGUAAACCUUUAUACAAUGAAAUUUGUCCCAAAAUAUUUGGUUUUUGGGUAAUUUGAUUAAUUAUGAAAUUUUUCAUCGUUUAUGAUUAUGUGCGACGAACGUCUUCCUUGCUUUUAAUCUUAUGCGACGAAGGUCAUGCGUCGCGCAAGGUUACUUUUUAUUUUCCCCCUUAUUUAUUUAUUUUUAUUAAAUUACAUUUUAAAUUAAUUUUUUGUAAUUAGUUUAAUUAAAUUAUAAAAAUAAUUAAUAAAAAAUAUUUAUUUAUAAUAUAUAUAUAUAUAUAUAUAUAUAUAUAUAUACACGUACGUAUAACCCGAAAAAUUUGUAGAAUAUCCGAAUAUAAAAAAAAAAUAAAGUCGUCAAGGUUUGCUGCGUUGGCCUACUGAGUGGAGGGGCUGAGAGCUCGAAGAUGAAUGAGGAGAAGUUGGGAAUCGGAAGCCGGACAACUGCAGGGCGUGUAAGUAAACACAUUGAUGGGAAUCACAAUUAUUCCAAUGAAAUCAUUGGUUGUAUUUCUUAAUAGAACAAUGCUCUCCUAAGGUCCUUUUUCAUACGAGCCCUCAUAUUAAUCUUAUGGUAGAUUAAGAUAUCAACUUAAACAACUCUUAUAACACAGAAAUAAAAUACUAAUUUCUGAAACAAAAAAUUAAGAAGAGAGAACAAAGUUACAUGUCAUGGUGAAUCCAUUCAAUUUGCAAAACCUAGUCUUCUCAUCUAAUAUAUAAACCUAGCAAACCCAAAUGCAUAAAACCCGAACAACUUUACACAUCUAAUUUCAUCCAAUUUUUUAUUAAUAAUAUUUCAAUCUAGUUACAAAGCACCAAAAAAAAUUAAGAUUGAGUGGUCGAAAAUUAGGAUCCUUUCUUGUGAACGAUUGAGAGAGAGAUGGAAAGAAGAAGAGGAUGUGGAGUAGAGAGACGGUAGAGGAAGAAGAUGGAAGGUUUCACGUGAGAUAUUUUUUUUUUAAUUUGAUCACUUCGUAGAAUUACUGUGUUUUAGUGUUGCUAUUAAAUCGCUAUCCACGAUAUUCGAACUCAAGACCUAUUUUUUAAGAUUACAUUAAGGAAUAUCCAAUCAGUAUAUUGAUUUAUCUAUAACAACACAAUCUUGGACUCUUGGUUAACCCCCUCCUCCCCCGGGGGGUGCAAACUUGGCCUCGUAGGAUGAACAAGCCAAGUUUGGAAUCAAGAAACAAAUGGCGUGUCUUUAGUAAGCCUUUGGUUAAUAAAUCUGCUGGCUAGUCCAUGACUAGUAUAUACCGAACAAGAUGACUGCUAAUAACCACACGUUCCAUAACAAAAUGAUAAUCAAGCUAGAUAUGUUGAGUUCGAGCGUGGACUAGCUUUAAGGACGAAGUUGAACUGGUUUAGACUUGACUAAACUAGAUUAACUUAGUAAUACGUUUUAUGUAGUGCCGAACUAAGAAGUAGGAUAAUGAAAAUAACAAUGUUUUUAGGGACUAAAUUGUUGUUUAUUUUAAUUUCUUUUUUCUUCAGAUGUUAUGAAAAUUAAUAUUAUUGAUUCUCAUGUUUUAUUAUCCUAUCUUGAAAAAAAAAAAAAAAAAAACCUUAACGAAAUGUUUUCGGUACUGUUCAUUUUAACGAAAAAUCACAUUUUAACAUUAAAAAGUCAAUCCUAAUACUAUUCACUUUAUCUUUUAUUUUGUCCUUAUCGUUAAAACUUAAAAUUUUUAAGCUCUUUUCGUUAAUUUUCCUAAAAAAAAAAAAAAAGUCAAUACGUAGCUCUCCUCUUCUUGGGAAAUAUCGAAAUGAAAAUAAAGGACAUAGGCGUAGCCCUCUUCUUCUUCGCGAGUUGAUGGUGCUCAGCAACCAAAUCCUUCGCCAAGUAUCUCUUCUUCUCUGCAACUAAAUCUUUCACCAAGUCUCUCCCUGUCGACGUCAUAGUGUAUCACCGCCGGCGACAAAGCAACAGCCAUUGAUGCUGUAAUUUUUGGAUGCACCGUAUUCAAUGAUUUGGGCUUGCUCUGUGCCUUCAGAAUCAUCUGUGGUGGGAAAAAAAUUAACGACAGCUUCCGAAGGGUGUGCGGGCGCCAUUUUUCGUGCUGCUCAACCACACCGUGCUGUUGCUAGGCUUCUCUUUAUCCGUCGAAGAGGGCGGAGGAAGGUCUCCGUACAACCCACCUAGCAUUUUGACCGAUUACCCACUUUCUAUCUCUGUAGUUACAGAGCUCUGAAACCUAAAGGGAAUUGAAGCUUACGGAUGAUCUAAAUUUGGGCAGGUUUGCUGGGGAUUCAGUGAAGAAUAAGAAAAGGAUUUUUGGGGGAAAUCAGUGAAAUCAAGGUUCUGAGGUUCAUAUCUGCAGCGAGAUUCAUAGACUGAUUGGGAUUCUGAAGAGAAGGAAGGAAACAAAGCAUGCUCUCACCAGUUCACGUGAAGGAGGAGGCACUUAGUGAGGUUCUUAGCAAUCCCAUGGUUCAGCUGUGACUAAGAGCUCGUUUGGAAGUUCUUUUAAAAUGACUGAAAGUGUUUUUGGUGAAAAUAUUUUUGAAAUCAAUCCUUAGUAAAAAUGUAAGUAAAUCCUGAAAAAACACUUAAAUGCUUCCCAGAAGAAGCUCUUAACUUUUUAUUUUUAUUUUUUUUAUAAGAGACGAUAGUAGAUAUCACUUCCACAAAGGGGUAACAGCAUACAACAUUUUGCAUUAGGGCAUAGCACCUUCUUCUACAAGUGUGUCAAUCAGAAAACUUGGAGGAGAACCGUGCCAUUCACAACUUUGGUUAAACAAGAGGCUAGUCCGGGCAAGGCAAUGAGCAGCCGAGUUUGCAUUGCGGCAGGUGUGGGUAACAAUUGCUUCAAUGAUUGAUUGGAGUAGUGCCUUGAUAUCCUCCAUAACUUGUCCAAUUGAUGACACGUUUAGGAUAGGAUUUUUUACUGCCUCCACAAUCUAAAGUGAAUCACUCUCAAAAAACAAAUUUGAAAAACCCCUAUUCACUGCCCAAUGCAAGCUCUCUCGAAAAGCGAGUGCUUCUGCCUGUAAGGGAGAGUAGACCCCCUCAAAACUUCCACAAAUUGCAGCCAUAAAAUCCCCGGAAGCUUCUUGCAGAAAUCACUUAAAGUUCUUUUGGAACCUAAAAAUAUUUUCUUUAAAAGCGCUUUCAGUCAUUUUAAAAGCACAUCCAAACGUACCCUAACUUAGACGAACUAACGAGGCCCGUAGUCCAUACGAGUAAGGGCUAGUCCCAUUUAACUUAGUCUCCAGACGUAACAAACAUAGUAUAGUAGUCCUAGCUAGUCCAAUCCCACCUAAGAAGGUCAAACAAAGACACCCUUGCAGUUUACAAAAAUAAUAUCAACAUGAGUCCUUCAUCUAUAAGAUUACAUUACGGAAUAUGUAAUCGGUAUAUUGACUUAUCUCUAACAACCUUUGCAGUUUACAGAGUCUUAACUCUUGGUUAACCCCCCAGAAGCUGCAAACUUGGCCUCGUAGGAUGAACAAGUUUGGAACGAAAAAACAAAUGGCGCAUCUUUAGUAAGCCUUUGGUUAACAAAUCUACUGCCUGGUCCACGGCCGGUAUAUAACGAACAAGAUGACUGCCAAUAACCACACAUUCCCUAACAAAAUGAUAAUCAAGCUUGAUAUGUUGAAUUCGAGCGUGAAAAAUCGAGUUUGCAAUCAUAUAAGGGGUACUUAAGUUGUCGCAAUGAAGAUGAAUGGGAAAUACGGCGGGACAGCCUAGCUUAUAAAACAAAUAAGAAAACCAUAUCGUUUCUGCACAUGCAUGAGAAAGAGCCUUCGGCACUAGAUUUAGAGACCAUAAGUUGCUUCUUUAAGCACCAAGAUGAGAGAUUUGACCCCAUGGUUAAUAAGAUAACCGCGUGGAGCAUCGGAUGUCCACAUAACCUGCCCAUUCCGCAUCAAAAAAGGUAGAAAUCCGAGAGGGCAGAGGUUAAGGCCGAAGCAAAAGACCUUGACCAAUGAAGCCCUUUAUGGAGGCGAAUGAUUCUUUUUAUUGUUAACAUAUGUGGGAUACGUGGGGCACUCAUAAAUUGUGCCACAUUAUUGACGGCAAAGACGAUAUCAAGCCGAGUAAGAGUCAAAUAUGAAGACAUCCAACCAAACAACAAUAUUUCGCAGGAGAGGAUAAUGGGUCUUCUAUGUAUGCCGAGAGCACUUGUUUGGCAGCAAUAUGUGUGCGCGGUUGGGUUUGCAGUCUAACAUCUUCGCACGGUAGAGAAGGUCUGUGAUGUAUUUAGCCUGGGAAAAGUAAAGCCCAACUACUGUUCGUGUAAUUUGAAGUCCUAGGAAAUAAUUCAGCUGCCCAAGAUCUGUGAGAUCGAAAGUCAUGCUGAGAUGGGUGAUGAAACGAUGCAAGGUAGGUUAGUGACUACCUGUUAGGACGAUAUCGUCCACAUAUAACAAUAUGAUGAUAAUACAAGAGCGAUGCCUAUAAAUAAAAAGGGAAUAGUCUGCAUGAUUGAGAAUAAAUCCAUAACGCAGGAUAAAGAAAUUGAACUGAUGGAACCAUGCACAGGGUGCUUGCUUGAGUACAUAUAAGGCUUUAAUCAGUUGGUACACAUGAUUCGAGUGUUGAGGAUCAACAAACCAUAUAUGGUUGCCGGUUUGAUGAUGGGGCUAAAGUUUUCCCCGUGGUCAAUGUCAGGUUGUUAAUGAAAUCUCUUUGAUACCAAAUGCGCCUUGUAGCACUCAAUAGUGCCAUCAGGCUUACGUUUGAUUUGGAACACCCAUUUGCAUGCCACUUUAUUUUAGUGUGGAGAUAGAGGAACUAAGACCCAUGUUUGAUUUUGUAAUACUGCAUUUAUCUCUUCGGCCAUCAUGGCAUCACGUCAUUCCUAUUUACAAACAGCCUGAGAAAAACACGUAGGCUCAUCAGUAGACAAAGAAAUUUGUAAGGCAUGAGAUAAGGGAUACCUAGUAGUUACCGUUCCAAGCUUUUGGUCGUCGAGUGCCAUCCCGAGUGAGAGUUACCAUGAGGUGGGUAGAUGAAAGUUGUAUAUGAUAGUGUUGUUGGGAGGGCACAUCACCAGCGGAAACUUGGAUAUCAGUGACAAGCACUAGAGAGAUAGGCUCUCGCACUAGGCUAGAAGCUAGCAGGCCUAAGAGUGGGAGCAGGAGACGGUGAGGUUUGAUGGGUCUGGGGACCUGUAGUUAAUUAGAGGCCUGUUUGGGCCAAAGCUGAGGGAGUGAUUGCUUGGUCCAAAUCUGGUGGAGGAGCAACAAUAUGUUGGAUGGAUAGCUCCACAGAUGGUGGGUGGGCCUCUCUUUGGGUCUUCACAUAAGGAAAAUUUGUUUCAUUAAAAAUCACAUGUCGUGAAAUAUAAACUCGGCUUGUAAGCAUAUCAAGGCACCUAUAUCAUUUAUGGUGAGCACAUACGUAAUAAAAACACAUUCAAUGGAUCGAUUCAUUAAUUUAUUCUUAACAUAAGGUCCAAGAAAGGGAAAACAAGAACAAUUAAAAGUGUGUAAUUAAAUGAGAAUAAGAAGGUGAUCGACCAAAUGACAGGGAAUAAGGAGUAUAGUGUAUUGAUGAGAUAAGCGGAUGUGAGCGCUGCCUUUACCCAUAAAGAGUGUAGGGCAUGUGCUGCGAUAAGCAAAGUACCCACCAUGUUAGCAAUAAGACAAUGCUUGCGCUAAACUAACACAUUCUAUUGUGGCGUAUGAGGGCACAAAAAAAUUUGUUGAAUAUCAAGAAGACGAAAAAAGUCAGACAUUGAGUUGUUGACAUACUGGUGCCACCAUCACUUUGGAAAAAUUUAAUGUGUGUGUUGAAUAUAUUUUUAACCAUAGCCACAAAAGUUUUGACAAUGAUGGAAAACUUCGGAUAUCUUUUUCAUUGGAUAAAUCCAUGUGUAAUGAUAUGACCAUAUUUAUGCGACUUAAUUGGCUUGUUCUCGUGCGUUUACGUUGUGUUUCCUUAGUUAUUUUAGUGUUUAAAGUCACUUUUGUGUGUUUUCAGAUUCUAAGGGCAAAUGAUGCAAUUUGGUGCCUUUUGGAGAAAAUUGGGCUUGGAAUGAUUAUCACAAGCUUGGAGCAAAAGGAAUGGACGUAAUUGAAGAUUUGAAGAAGUUUGGAUUCCUAACCAACGAAGGAUUCCUAAUUGAAGAUGGAUUCCUACUCACAUGAGGAUUCCUAGAAGAAUAAGGAUUCCUACUUGAAGUAGGAAAGUUAAGCCAAGGUUUCCUAUUUUGGUUUGACCUUUCCUAAAUCUAAAAGUCCUUAUGUUCCAGCCACUUUGAAGGCCUCCAAAGUAUUCUAUGACAUCAAGCACAUAUUUCUUGCAUGGUCUAAGUCAAUGCCGCACCUCACAUGCCCUUUCCACAAUCCCCUCUUCCUUGCCAUGCAAGGGAACCUUUUCCCUUCAGUUUUAGGACAUUUAAACCUUUCCCUAAACCUUUCCUACAUCACAGCCGCACCCCCUUAACCUUUCCUCUUCCUUGCCGUGCAAGGGAGAGGGUUCUUUCCUAUUUCCUUGCAUUAAAACACAUUCCUUUUGUGUUUUAUGCCCUUGCCGCAUAUCCCUUGCACUUUCCAUUAGUUUUCUGAUUUGAUUUCCUAUUUCUAGAAGCUUUUGACUUAAUUUCUGUUUACCUAAAUAACCUAGGGUUUUGCUUCCUGAAAUCCUUUAAAUAAACUUCCUUGUUGCAGCCACAAGAACUAUUCAAUCACCCAUUCACGCCAGAAAUCAUCCACCACUCCUAGACGCAUCCAUACUUCACCAUUCUCCAUAGUUUCUGACCCCAAACACUUCUAGCCGCACCAUACUACCAUCCUAAACACCAUUCCAUACUUUUACACCAUCUAUAACCCCCAAAACUCACCACCAACCCUUGUGCCGCAACAAAGAUGAGGGAGGAAAGCCCUUGGACGUGCUUGUCAUUCGAUUGAGGAUUGCUGGAACGUUUUAGGUGUAAUCUUUCUAUUGUUUUCAAUGUUUCAAUUCAAUAAUCUUUGUUUUGUGAGUAUGAGGAACUAAACCCUUUUAGUUAGGGGAUGAUUCGAAACCAUGUUCAUGCUUGCAAUAUGAUUUGAUUACAUCCAGUUGUGUUUUAUAAGUUGUGAAUUCAAUUUACUUAUCCGUUCGUAUAAAAACUGAUUGUGUAUGUUGGUUGAGAGUGCACGCUUAAUUUUCAUGCAUGAAUUUGAUGCUAGAAUAUAAGGGAGUUUCACCUAAUUGUUACGAACUUAUAUUCACAAGUAGUGAAGGUUGCUAGUCACAAUCGCUUUAAGUAAAUUCUUGGCAUAAGUUUCAUGCAAUUCAUAGUAACGAAUGCUUCGUCAAUGCUUAUGAUUUUCAUAGAACUUAAUGAUUCUUACUUGUAUCUCUAUUAUGCAAUUCAUGUAGGGAACUUGUGGGGAAUGCUUUGGGUUGUCGUAUGUAAUCAUCCAAUUCAAUAACUUUUGGAAAAUCUGAGGGUUAAUUAGUGCAAUUCACGGUUAAUCUGGGGCGUUGAGAAUUCAUAGCUUAUUGAAAAGCAAUUGGAAAUCGUUUUGUAUGCAAGUGUGUCAUGUGUGGAGAAGAACUUCCUAACUAUCCUUUUAUCCAUAGUUUCAUCCAAAUUCGUUUUAAAACUCUGUUUUAGUUACAAUCUGUUUUCUUUUUUUUCAAAUUCGUCAAAACCAAAUCUCCCAUUAUUUUAUAGUGUUAGAUUAGUUAGAAAUCAAUUUAGUUUGUGUUUUUAAGUGUUUUGAUUCAAGUUAUAACCCAAUUUCGUCCAAGUUUGUUUUAGAGUUCAAAACUGCCCAGAAAGUGUUUUUAAGGCAGUUUUGAGUGUCUUUGUGUUGUUUUGAGUCUUUUGUUUUGUUUUAGUGUUUUAGAGUUUAGAUUUGCAUUCUUUGAGUCUAGUUUAGUGUUUCAAACUUUGUUUUACAUAUUUGAGUCAGUUUAGAGUGUUUAGCAAUCCCUCAUAAUCCCCGGUUUAAGAACGAUCCUUACUUAUCCAUACUACAAUUGUCAACAAGAGGGUUAAUUUGUGUGUUUAGUUAUUUUACGCAUCAAAUUUUAGCGCCGUUGCCGGGGAUUAGCAACUUUGCUAAUCCCUCGUUAUUUCUUUUUAUUUUUGUUUGUUUUCUAUCUUAGUUGCUGAUUUGUUUUGUUUCUUUGUUUUUAGGUACUAGUGUAUGACUCGAAGUUCCCAACCUGUUCGUGAGCAUAUUUUGGACUUUGACGACGAUUUUGAGAGAACUUUGAAACGAAGGAGAACCAACAAGAGUCUAACCUACCUAGCCCUGAACCUGACCUUGAAGAACAAGUUUUAGAAGAAGAAGAGAGGGGCACGACUGGGAUUUUUGAGGAAGCACCAAUCAUGGCAGCCGACAACCGAACAAUCAAGGAGCUUUCGGCUUCGGGAUUGGACAAUGCCGCACCCUUAUGCAUCCAAUAUCCCAUGGCAGCUCAAGGUAAGACCGAGGAGUUCGAAUUGAAGUCUAGUUUGCUGCACCACAUCCCAAAGUUCCAUGGGCUGUCCAUGGAGGACCCUAACAAGCACUUGAAGGAAUUUGAAGUGGUUUGUUCGAGCAUGUCCCCGGUUAACGUUGAUGGCAACAUCUUGAAGAUGAAGGCUUUUCCAUUCUCUCUAAUGGAUAAAGCUAAAGAUUGGUUGUAUGAACUUGCACCUGGGACAGUCACAUCGUGGGAAAGUAUGAAACGAGCGUUCUUGGAGAAAUUUUUCCCUACUUCAAGAGUCAUUCUCUUGAGGAAAAGGAUAAGUGGCAUCCAACAAAACCAAGGAGUCUUUUCCAUCUUAUUAUGAACGUUUGAAAACGCUUGUUGCUUCUUGCCCGCAGCAUCAAAUGAAGGAAGAGUUGCUACUCCAAUACUUCUAUGAAGGCCUUUUACCAAUCGAACGUCAAAUGCUAGAUGCCUCGGUGGGAGGAGCUUUAGUAGAUAAGACACCCAUGACAGCCAAAACACUUAUUGCAAACCGUGCAUUGAAUGCACAACAAUACGAAGGCAUUGGGCAAAGGGAUACCCCACGACAACAAGUUAAUGAGGUAAGUUCCACAUCCGACAUUCAAUCUCAAUUAGCUAAUCUUACUUCCAUUGUUUCUCAGAUGGCCGAAGGAAUGAAAAUUCAAGGACCAAUGGUGUGUGGCGUAUGUUCUAUCCAAGGACAUGCCUCUGAAAAGUGUCAUCAACUAAUUGAGAAUGGUGGAUGGGAGAGCGCUAAUGCAAUUGGAUUUCAAAGCCAAAAUCAGCCAAGGCACGAUCCAUACUCUAACACAUAUAAUCCCGGUUGCAGAGACCAUUCAAAUUUCAAGUUGAGGGAGUUACAACAACCCCAACAACACGAAGGCUUUAGGCAGCAACCCCCGGGCUUCUACACCAAGCCAUACGCACACAUACAAGCUCCUCCACAAUUUGCCCAAAACACUUCAGGUAAUACUUUGGAUAAUGAUACAAUUCUUAAAUUACUUACCAAAUUGUCUCAGGGGCAAGAAAAUCAAACCCAAGCAAUGCACAACACAAACAUUAGGGUGGAUCAAUUGGAAAAGCAAAUUGAGCAGAUUGCGGAGUUUGUUGGGCAGUUUAGAGACCAAGGAAAGCUUCCUAGUUCAACCAUUGCAAAUCCAAAUGGAGGGUUUGAAACAACCAAAGCAAUCACCCUACGAAGUGGCAAGGAGAUUGGGGCAGGUUCUUCAUCAAAAACAGGUCACAAAGAAGAUGAAAUGUUGCAAAUGGAGGAGGAGGAAGCAACUCAACCCAUGGCAAGGGUAGAAACAUCCUUGCCGCAAGUUCCAAUGGCACAAACACCAUCCAAUCUGUCCAACAAAGGUAAGAAUGUGUCCACUUCGGUUCCUACUAAUGUUAUUCCUUCGAAUGUACCCUUUCCUAGCAGAUUUUUGCAAGCCAAGAAUGAAGAGGAGGAAAAAGAUGAAGGAGAACAACUUAUAUGUGGUAUUCUGUACUAGUGAAUCAAGAACAUGUGGUGUGCACAUGUUAUGUAAAAUCGUUCUCUAUUUGAAGAUUUAUAUGUCACUGCUGCUAGAACCAAGUUCAAGGCUUCGGUGGGAUAUAGCAUGGUGAGAAUUUGAGUUCUUUAAACUUAAAAACAUUGACACGGGCUAUUUUAUAAUUUUUAAUUGUCAUAGCCCACAUGGUAAAUGAAAAGUCUAAAGCUUAGGGCUAUUUUGAGAGAAAAUAAGAGUUAAUAAAAACUUACUAUUAAAUUUUAGUAUUGGUUAAAAUGAUGAGUUUAUUAAAUUUUAAUAGUAAUAAACCACUUAGUAUUGCGGUCUGGUGAUAUUUCUCUUUACUUGUAAGUGAGAGACCUUAGGUUCGAUUAUUGCCAUAGACAAAUUUGAACCACAUUAUUGUUAGCUCAUUGUGAGGCUUAGUCCACUCCCCCACCCUUUUACUGUACAUUAUAUCAUUUGGUAAAAAAAAAAAAAUUUAAUAGUAGUAAAUUAAAACUUCCACACCACACAUGGUUCCUCUUACUGUACAUUAUAUCGUUUGUUAAAAAAAUUUAAUAGUAGUAAAUUAAAACUUCCACACCACACAUGGUUCCUUAUUUUAUUCAUUUAAAGUUUGAAGGCUAGAAGUCUAGAAAAUAGAAUAUAAAUUUCUUGCUUCAAAUUAUUAUUUUCAAGUUUACUAUUAUAUAACUUUAGGGUAAAUUACACAAAACUUACUUAACUAUGAGUCGAACCACAUCUCAUACCUCAUAUUUUAAAAAUUACAAUGUCAUAUCUCAUCUUACGAAUUUGUUGCAAUGUCAGAUAUCCAUUAGUUUUUCUAUGAAUUUCUCUAUUAAAUGCUGACAUGGCUUGAGGCGAAGCCCACUCCUUAGCCCAAUUAGAUAAAAAUAUUAUUAAAUAUUAUUUAAAUAUUUUUAUAAAAUUUGGGACCCACCUCCACAAUUCUCUUUCUCUUGGGAUAUCCUUUCUCUCGGGAUCUCCUCUUUCUCAACUUGAACGACUAUGUCUUCCCUUCCUUACUUCCUCCAUUCUUCACCUUCAUCCUCAAAAUUUCACAACCAUUUUCAUCUUUUUCUUAGAAAUUCAAAUUUCCAAUUAAAAAAUUAUCACAAUUCAAAAAAUGCAGGGAUACCGAGACCCACAUCAACCGCCUAUUAAAUGUUGCCACAACCGCCAAUUAAACCAGUGCUCCAAAGCCAAUUAAACCAGUGCUCCAAAGCCAAUCAACCAGGCCGACCCAUAGUCGGACCACCACCAAAGGAAAUCUCCCCCUUCUUUCCCUCCGAAGCAUAGUUGAAAAAGCAGCUGUUGCGUCUUCUACGCCUUCUUCCUCAUCGUCAUCAACCACGUCGCCCUCGCCGGCGGCAUCUUCUACCUCUACUUCCACCCCCUCAUCCCAGCCUUUUGCCUCCUCUCCUUCUAGAUCUCCAAAUUCGACCCCAUCCCUAAGCUCAAAGGGACCCAUUGAGGAAUUGAUGACGGAAUCCGACCAGUUAAGCCAUUGAUGGCGAAGUUUGAAAAUUGAAGCCAUGAACGGAAGUCAAAUCAAUCACGUGCAAAAAAAAAAAAAAAUAUGGGUUUUUUUUCUUUCAAUUUUUUUUUUUUUUGGGAAAAGAAGAGGAAAGUGAUGGAUUGGGGAAGAAGGGUGAGGGUGAUGGGUUUGUAUGGGUAGGUCCCACAUUAUUAUUUUUAUAAAAUAAGUUAACUAAUUUCAUUGUUAAUUUAUUAAUAUUUAAUUAAUAUUUUUAUCCAGCUAGCGACGGAGUGUGCCGUGCCUCAAGCCACGUCAGCAUUUAACGAAGAAAUUGACGGAGGUUUGAUAUUGCAACAAAUUCGUAAGAUGCGGUAUAACAUUGUAAUUUGUAAAACAUAAUGUAUGAGAUUGUGGUUCAAUUUAUAGUUGAGGUAGUUUUAUGUAAUUGCGCCAUAACUUUAUGUAGGCAACAAAAAAAAUUGAGCAUUUGAUUUCGUAGUAAAAUUUUAGCUUAACCCACCCAUCAAAUAAUUCAUGGCUCCGCCAUUAAUGCCACGAUUUACCUCUACCAUUUGGAUUCCAUUAUACCAUGCUAGCUAACUCAUUUUGUUAAACCAGAGAAAAAACUCAACUUUCAGAUUAAAUUGUGAAAAAGUUGAGGUUUCACCAUAAAAAUAAUUGGCAAUGUGUGGAGUUGUCCAACUAUUUAAAAUCUCUUCUUUUCCCAAUAUAAAAUUAAUACUCUCAACAAAUUUUGACUUGGGACUUUUGGGUACCGUUUGGUACGUGGGAUGGGACAGAAUGUAGUGGGAUGAAACACACUCGUCCUACGUUUGGUACGCCAAAUUGUCUAGAAUGCGUUGUCCCGUGGAACAAAUUUUAGUUAUUUUUUCGUUCCACCUUAACCCUGUAACGACUUGUUCCAGCUCAUAAAACACAAAAUUAUAAUUUUUUGGACAACAAUACCCUUCCUUAUUUUCAUUAAUUCCACUGUCUACCCUCCCUCUCUCAUGUAGCCUUCUCCUCUGAUAGGAGCAUAUUUAUGCGACUGAGUUAGCUUGUUCUCAUGCAUUUAUGUUGUUAUUUCUUAGUUAAUUAUGUAUUUUAAGCUAUUUUCGUGUGUUUGUAAGUCCAUAGGCCUUAUACAGCAAUAAGAUGCAUUUUGGUGCAUUUUGGAGCAAUUUUGGGCUUGGAAUGGAUAACACAUGCAUGGAGCAAGGUGGAUGAACGAAAUUGAAGACUAAAGAGGCUAGGAAUGUGUUAAAGAGAAAGAAGAAUUAAUGUAAAAAGGACAAAGAGCUCAGACACAAAGGGGUGUCACUCCACCAUUCACCUUUCCAUCAUUGCUGUGCACCACCAUUUCACUCCUUUUGGAUUCCUAUGUCGUGCAUCAUCAUCCAUGUUCCCUUUAUUGACUCAUUUGUUGCAUCAUUCCACUUCCUUUCCUUUGUCUACCAUGUGCACAAUAUCCUUUCACCUUCUUGCACUCAUUGAUUCACCACUUACUCACCUUUCCACUCAUGCCAUGCAUAAUCACUCUUGUCCCCUUCAUGCACCAUUACACUCAUUAUCCACCCAUGCCGUGCAUCAUGAGUCUUGCUGCACCUUUGACUCAUUUAUGCACCAUUCUACCUCCCUUUCCUUUCUCUACCAUGUGCACAAUCAUUCAUGUUCCCUAGCUGCAACACCACUCCAUUUUACCCCCCAUGCUUUGCAUCAUUACUUCACUUUCACAUUUGAAUUAUUUCAAACACCACUCAAUGCAAUCAUUGCUGUAACACCACUCCAUUUUACCCCCCAUGCUUUGCAUCAUUACUUCAUUUUCACCCUUGAAUCAUUGCACACACCACCAAUUUCCUUCCAUUGCCGUGCACUUCCUCUAUAAAAGGAAGUGUGUGUGGCAGCCAUAUAGUUGAGUUUUUGCUUGAUCAUUCAUCCCCAUUUCAAUACAACCUUCACCCAAACACAUCCAUUCAUCUUUACAUCCAUUCCUCCAUAUAAACAAACCUUCAAACACUCACCAACACCUUGUGCCGUAGUGAAGGAAGGGAAGGAAAGUGCUCAGACGUGCUUGCUGUCCAACUUGGAUUGUUGGAGCGUUUAGGUAUUUUCUUUCUUUUGUUUCUAAUGUUUAAAUUCAUUUCCUUUCGUUUUGUUGUAAAUAUGAGUGGCUAAACCCCUCUUGGCUAUGAGUGAUUUCAAAGCCAUGAUUAUGUGUGCAAUAUAAUUUGAUAAAUUCCAGUUAUGAACUCUUGAAUCGUGAGUGCAAUUGGCUUAACUAUUUGAUUGAUAACUUAUUUGUAUUUGUUAAUUAAGGGUCGACACUUAAUUGCCAUGCAUAAAUCCGUUGCUAGAAUAUAAGGAAGUUUCACAUAAUCGUUACAAACUUAUAUUCACAUGUAGUGAAGGUCGCUUAUAAACGAUCGCGUUAAGUUCAAUUCCUAGCAUAAGCGACAUGAUGUCAUAGUUGCAAGUGCUUUGUCAAUGCUUAUGAUUUUCAUUAAACGUAAUGAUCUUUGAUUGUAUCUCUAUUAUGAUGACAUGUAGGGAACUUUUGAAGAAUGUUUUGGGUUGUCGAAUGAUGUCAUCCAAUCCAAUAAAACAAGGAAAAUCUGAGAGUUAACUAGUGAUGUCACGGUUAAUUUGGAGCAUUGUCGUUCAUAAUCCAAUGAAGUAGUAACUGGAAAUCAAGUUAUUUGCAUACAUGUCAUGUGUGGAGAAAAAGCCUAUAGCUAUCCCAUCCAUCAUCUUAUUUCUCAAAUUUGUUUUACAAUUUGUCUAAUUUUUCAUACUUGUUUGUUUGUUUCAACUUAAUCCAAAUCAAAAUCCCCCUUUUAGUUUCUUGUUUCAAGGUGUUUCAAAUUUGUUUAGUUGUGUUUUUAAGUGUUUUGAUUCAAGUAAAAGUCAAUUUUUGUCCAAAGUCAUUCCUAAUGUCUAGUUUAAGUUUAUUUGGUUGUUUUAAGCUGUUUUGAGUAUUUUAAGUUUGCUUUGAGUCUUGUGAGUUUUGUUAAGUGUUUUUAAGUUUAGUUUUAUGUUUUUGAGUCAGUUUAGAGGUUAUUAGCAAGCCCUCUUAAUCCUCGGUCCAGAACAAUCCUACUUAUACUUGUACUACAAUUGUCAAAAGAGGGUUAAAUUUGUGUGUUAAGAUAAUUUUCGCAUCAAGUUUUUGGUGCCGUUGCCAGGGAUUAGCUUGCUAAUCCCUUGUUAUUUCUUUUUGUUUAUUUUCAUGUUUUUUUGUUCCUAGUUGCUGAUUUUACUUGUUUUCUUGUUUUAGGUGGUUUAUGACUCGAAGUUCUCAACCUGUUUAUAAGCACAUCUUUGACUUUGACGACGAUUUUGAACGAACUUUGAGACGAGCAAGGAAUCAACAAGAUCUCCAACCAUCUCAACCUGCACCAGAUCUUGAAGAAGACAAAGUAGAAGAGCAAGAGGAGGCCACGACAAGGACUUUUGAAGAAGUCCAAGAUAUGGCAGUAGACAAUUGAACAAUCAAGGAGCUUUCCGCUUCGGGAUUGGACAAUGUUCUUCCUUUAUGCAUUCAAUAUCCAAGGGCGGCCCAAAACAAGACCGACGAGUUCGAAUUAAAGUCCAGUUUAUUGCAUCAUAUUCCUAAGUUCCAUGGGUUGUCCAUGGAAGAUGCUAAUAAACAUUUGAAGGAGUUCGAGGUUGUUUGUUCGAGCAUGACCCCUGUGAAUGUUGAUGGGAGCAUUCUGAAAAUGAAGGCUUUUCCCUUUUCUCUCUUGGAAAAGGCUAAAGAUUGGUUGUAUGAGCUAGCCCCCGAAACUGUCACAUCAUGGGAGAGUAUGAAACGGGCAUUUUUGGAGAAGUUUUUCCCAACUUCUCGAGUCAUUCUACUACGCAAAAGGAUUAGUGGCAUUCAGCAAAAUCAAGGUGAAUCCUUUCUCACUUACUAUGAGCAUUUUAAAACCCUUGUUGCUGAAGGAGUAUUUUGUGAAAAACAUGUUCAUUUAAGCAACAUCAAUAAGCAUGCAAUUAACAAUUAAAGGCGGAAUCAUGCUAGCAUGCACUUAAAAACAAAACAUUAACCAAGAAAUUCAAAGCCUAGUAGAUUGGUGAACCAAAACUCAACUCAAAACAAAGUGAGUUGAAAUUGUACCUUUGUAGAUUCCUCUUUGCAUAAGCAAAGGCUAAUCACCCAAAGAGAGGGCCUUCAUUCCUUGCAUAAUAAAUCUAUGGAUUUGGAUGGAUGAAUAGGUUUCUCCAAGUUCCCAAAAUAGGGAACCUCUAAGUCUCUUCACCAAGGAGAGAUUGGAGAAGAAAUGAGUGACCUUGGAGUAGUGGGAUUGCAAGAUGCACCCCCAAGGUGGCCGGCCUCUUUAGAGAGAAAUGGAGAGACAUGUUCUCUCCAAUUUUCUCCAAAACAAACCCUUAAUGAAUUUUAGGCUAUAAAGUCAUAUUUAUACCUUUAUUCAUUUGAGUGGCAAACUUGUAAAUAAGUCCAAGUUCACUACCCUUAGCAUCAUGGCCGGCCCUAGGGGUAUUUUUGGGCUAAUUAGGGCCUUUGUGAAUCAUUAUUCAUUAAGUUGUCAUACAACUUAAGUCAAUGGGCUUGACGUUCGAAGCCCAUUGGGCCUUAAUGUCCAAAACUAUCCCGAGGUCUUUAACGAACUUAUUCGUUUGAUUAAUUAACAUAUUAAUUAAUCCUUGCCAUAAAUAAAUGAUUAAACCAUUUAAUCAUUCUUACUCAUCUCCAUUGUUUCUUCAAUCUCCACCUUACACGGUGUGCGAUCCAUUAGGUUCCUUUUAGCGAGGCAGUGGGCGAUUAAAACCAUUUUAUAUCGAUUGUGAAUUGAAACUUACUUUCAAUUCUCCCUUUAGUGAUUACACACGUUUAGGGCUUCCACAAACCAUGAGUGACACCUUGCAGCAUAUCAUGGUUACCCAAGCUAAUCAGAAGAGGUAGAGAAAACCUAUUCAGUUUGGGAUUACAAAUGCAAUACGGUCUUUCUCUAAUACAAUACUCUUGACCACAUUGUUUGGUUUGAUAGUUUAUUUAUUCAUGUCUACUAUCCAAUGUGAUUCGUGUGCUUAUAUGAUUACCUUGAAUGUGAUUUAGAACGACUUUUCCUAAAUCUCAUUCAUACUCUGGCCAGAGAUUCUAAAUCAUAUCAUAGAGUAUUCUCCCUCAAACAGUUUGAAGGUUAGAGAUCCCUUGUUGCGCAUUCACUUGCCUCCAUGGCUAAGUGGCUUAACCCCAACGAUGUCGUGGACACUCCAAUGGAAUGACGUUUGACAUAAUCAAAGAUCAAGGACUUAACCACAAGACAACUGUGAUGCCUCAGGUCAAAGGACUACUUUGCAUUAUCCCAACCAUGAGUUCUCAUGUGACAUGAAUAUGAGAACUCUUCGUUGAUCCGCGUUCAGUGAACUCAUUCUCUAUUGAGCACCUACGUACUUGUCUUGAUGUCACACACACCAAUGACUCAAGACUAGUCACUCUCCCUGAGAGAAGACAUAGCACGUACUGAUCUUAACAGAUUGUCAAUGCCCAAUUGGCAAUCCUAUGAUCAGGAACGUUUAGGAUGUGUCUACGAAAGAAUGGUCUCAUGAAUCUAACUUCAUUAGAUUGCAUUCUCCCAAUCACAUAUUCCUUGGACUUUAUCGUUUAAGCAUAUAACAUUUAUAUGAGACGGCUCAAACAAUAAUUUAUGCCCUUUAUAUGUAAACUAGAUUAGUUUAACAUGUGAAAUGUCCGUAAAGUAUCAUCAUAUGAUUGGCUUUAGGGCACAUUUCCAACAGUUGCUUCAUGUCCACAACACCAGAUGAAGAAGGAGCUUCUUCUUCAAUAUUUCUACGAAGGGUUUCUACCAAUUGAACGCCAAAUGUUAGACGCCUCAGCGGGAGGAGCUUUGGUGGACAAAACACCCAUGGCUGCCAAGACCUUAAUUGUUAACCGAGCAUUGAAUGCCCAACAAUAUGAAGGCGUUGGUAAAAAAGACAACCCACGACAGCAACAAGUUAAUGAGGUAAGUGUUAUUUCCGAACUUCAAAAGCAAAUGGCUAAUCUUACUACUCUUCUUUCACAAGUGGUUGAAAAACCAAAAGAACAAAGUGUAGCUGCUUGUGGUAGUGCUCAAUGAAUGGACAUCUCACGGAUAAGUGACCUCAAUUGAUUGAGAACGGAGGGUGGGAAUCUGCCAACGCCGUGGGUUUUGGGAGUCAAAACCAACCAAGGAAUGAUCCGUUCUUGAAUACAUACAAUCCAGGUUGGAGAGAUCAUCUAAAUUUCAAAUGGAGGGAGCCCCAACAAACCCAACAACAAAGUGCAUUCAGACAAUAACCUCUGGGAUUCUAUCAAAGGCUGUAUACACCCACACAACCCCAAACACAACCUGCCCAAAAUAACUCAGGUUCGUCUUUUGAUAAUGCUCAAGUUAUUCAGUUACUAACUGAUAGGAGCAUAUUUAUGCGACUUAGUUAACAUGUUUUCUUACACUUACUUAGUUAGUUAUUGCUUAUAAGAGUGUUUUAAACCAUUUUCGUAUGUUUGUAGGUCCUAAUAACAAAGAUGGCAAGAAAAGUGCAUUUUGGUGCAUUUUAGAGCAAUUUUGGGAUGAAAUGGAUUGCAUGCACUUGGAGACAUGAGGAUGGACGUUUUGGGAAGAUUAGAAUUCAGCAUAUGUGUGUAAGUGUGUGACCUACAACUAACAAACAUCAUAGUUGCCAUGUGAUGGAGACAACAUCAUGCAAGGUACAUGCAAAGACACCCACAUGCAAAGACAACACACGCACGACACAUGGAAGAAAGCAUGGCAGCACACACAUGGGAAAGAAAGGCACGGCAUGGGCAUGAAAUGAGUUGAAUUGUGGCUGAAAUAAUGAAGAGCAUGUGUGUGUGCAAGUGUGACAGCUUGUACAUGUGGAAAUGAUGACUAGAUGGCAGCACACACACAUGGGAAUGCAAGGAAACACACGGCAUGGGCAGCAGUAAAUCAGAAAAUGAAGAAUGAAGAUGUGGAAAUGAUGAUUACAUGGACAUACACACACAUGUAAAGAGGCCUUGAGCACCAUCCUUCACACUUGUGCAGCGGCAACCCUUCAUCAUUACUUAACAUUUCUGCCACAAGAACAUGGAGACAACAUUAUACAAGGCAUGUGCAAAAGAGAAACAUGGACAGCCAACAAAUUCGUCAAAACUGCCUGUGCAGAUUAGCUGACUUUGGAAGCAUGUUACGAACAGCUCCGAAUGAAUGAGAGAAUGAGCCUUAUAUGCUUGGAAAGCUACAGAUGUCUAUUUUCUGGAGAAAUUUUGGAUUGUUAAUAUCAUUUUUCUAGAAGAAGUUAUGGGCAUUGUAACACUGAAAGGUUCAGAAAAGGGCUAAGCAGAUUUGGCUAAUAAAAUGAGAAAGUAAAGGCACUUGUUUUGUGUUUUGCUUUGUCAUCAACACUCAGUAGCAAAUGGGGUUAUGAUUGCACUCAUUUGGCUUUGGAGCAAGUGGAAAUGCACAGCUAGAAAGAGAAGACACACCCAUAUGCAAAGGAAAGGAGAAACAUGGGCAGAAAAUGGGUGGAUUGGUGGCUGAAAUGAUGAAGCAUGUGUGUGCAAAAGGAAAGGAGAAACAUGGACAGCACACACCCAUGCAAUCUGCACAUGCAAAGGAAAUGGAGUGGUCGUCUCCCUAGCCUAUAAAUACAUCCACCACCCCCCUUCCAAAGGGGUACAAUCUUGAUCCAUCAAAAGAGCUUCAUUUCAUUCACAAACACAAUUUCCUUGUAGUGACCUCCAUCCAUUCAUCUAGCCAUACUACAUCUCACUAAUCCAUACACUUUCAUCUCUUAGCCGUGCAAAUCCAUUCCAUCCAUAUAUCCAUACACAUCCUAGACACUUGUGCUACAACAAGGUGGUGAAAACAAAGGUCCUUGGCGUUUCAAGCUUGGAACUUUGGAGCGUUUUAGGUGUACUUCGUUCUUGCUUUCAAUGUCUACUUUAUUACUUUCUAAUUUUGUUGCAAUUAUGAGUGGCUAAACCCCUAUUUAGUUAGGGGGAAGUUUGAAGCCAUGAACAUGCUUGAGAUUUGAAUUGAUUUCUUCCAAUUGUGAUUUGAUAAGUUGUGAUUGCAAUUCAAUUAUCUAUUUUAUUCAUAACUAAUUCUUGUAUGUUUAUUAAGGAUGCAUACUUAGUUUUCAUGCAUGAAUUAGAUGCUAGAAUAUAAAUGAGUUUCACCUAAUCGUUACAAGUUUAUAUUCAUGAGUAGUGAAGGUUGUUUAUCACAAUCGCGUUAAUUGAAUUCUUGGCAAAUGUAUCAUGCAUUCAUAGUUAUAAUUGCCUCGUCAACACAUAUGAUUUUCAUUGAACGUAAUGAUCUCUGAUUGUAUCUCUAUUAUGCAUUCAUACAAGGGACUUUUAGAGAAUGAUUUGGGUUGUUGCAUGCAUUCAUCCAACUCAAUGAGUAAAGGAAAAUAUGAGGGUUAAUUUGUGCAUCACGGUUAAUUUGGGGUGUUGAGCAUCAUAGUUAAUUGAAAAGCAAUUGGAAAUCGAUUCAUAUACAAGUGUGUCAUGUGUGAAGAACGGACCUCUAACUAAUCCAUCCAUCAUCUCAUUUCUUAAAUUCGUUUUACAAUUUGUCUAAUUUUGUAAGUUGUUUGUUUGUUUGUUUCAAAUUCAUCAAAACUAAAACCCCCCUUUUACUUUCUUGUUUCAAAGUGUUAAAAUCUGUUUUGUUUGUGUUUUAGAGUGUUUUGAGUCAAGUCAAAAACCAAAUUUCGUCCAAAGUUGUGUUAGAGUUAGAAACUGCCUAGUCUUUGUUUUUAGGCAGUUUUGAGUGUUUUUAAGUUGUUUUGAGUCUUUAGAAUCUGUUUUGAGUCCCUUGAGUCUAUUCAAACGUUUUUAAUUUAUUUUUAUGUUUUUGAGUAAGUUUAGAGGUUAGCAAGCCCUCCUAAUCCCCGGUUUAAGAACGAUCCCUACUUAUACAUAUACUAAAAUUGUCAAAAGAGGGUUUAAUUUGAGUGCUUAACUUUCAUUGCAUCACUAACUACGUUGGCGAAGGGUUAGGAAAAUCAAGCCAAAGAUAUGCACAAUUACGCCAAAGAAGUGCAAAAUCAAGCUCGAGAGGUGACUGAAUUGAAAAGACAAAUGGGACAAAUGGCUGAGUUCAUGGGGCAAUUUAGUAGAGAACCAGGUAAGUUACCUAGUUCGACGGAUGUGAAUCCAAAGGGAGGCUUCGAAUCUGCCAAAGCCAUCACCUUGCGAAGGGGAAAAGAAGCUGGAUCUAAUCCCAGCCCAUCUAAAUCCAAUCAAAAGGAGGACGAAAAGAUGCAAUAUGAGGAGAAGGAACAAGGCCUGCCCUCGGCAAGGAUGGAGCAAUCUUUGCCGCAGCCACCUACACACCCUAAUUCGACCACCAAAGGUAAGUUGGGUUCAAAUUCCAUGACUUCUAAUUCCAUUCCAACCAAUGCACCCUUUCCUCGCAGGUUUAUGCAAUCAAAGAAGGAUGAGAGUGACAAAGACAUCCUUGACACAUUCAGAAAGGUGCAAGUCAACAUUCCACUUCUAGAUGCAAUUAAACAAGUCCCCAAGUAUGCUAAGUUCCUGAAGGAGCUGUGCACUGCAAGGAAUAGGGCUUCGAACAAAGAGGUGGUAAGGGUAAGUGAGAAUGUCUCAGCUGUGUUGCAAGGAAAAUUACCUUCUAAGUGCAAAGAAUUUGGCAGUUUUACAAUUCCUUGUGUUAUAGGAAAUACUCGCUUUGAAUCUGCCAUGUUAGAUCUAGGUGCAUCAAUAAAUGUCAUGCCUUAUUCAAUAUAUGUAUAUAUGAACUUGGGAGAAUUAAAAAAUGAUGGAGUGAUCAUUCAACUGGCCGAUAGAUCUAAUGCGUAUCCAAAAGGUGUUUUGGAGGAUGUUUUAGUGUAGGUGAAUCACCUAGUCUUUCCGCCGGACUUCUACGUGCUUGAAAUGGAAGACUCGAACCAUUCCCCUCAAUUACCAAUCUUACUUGGCCAACCAUUCAUGAAGACUGCCCGUACAAAGAUAGAUGUAUUCAAGGGAACAUUGACCAUGGAAUUUGAUGGGGAAGUUAUUGAUUUCAAUAUUUUUGAUGCUAUGAGAUAUCCUCAUGAUGGUCACUCUUGUUUCUCAUUGAUGUGAUUGACUCUUGGCACAGGAAUUCCUUGAUGAUUUGAGUGAGGAUGCACUUGAAAAGAUUCUCACGCAAAGCAUUGGACUAAAAAACGAAGGGUUAGCACUUAGGCAUGCACACGGCAACAACAAGGAACAUCUUGCCGUGCCUAUUCAAGAAGAAUUGGUGGAGAUGGUUGCUGCCCUAGAGUCAAAUCCAAGGCAUAUUGGUAAGUCUCCUAACCUAAUUUCAAUUUCCAAUUCGACUAACAAGUUGCUUCCUUCUGUAAUCCAGCCCCCCUCCCUAAAGCUUAAACCAUUGCCGAGCCAUUUGAAAUAUGUGUUUUUGGGAGAACAAGAGAUGCUGCCCGUCAUCAUCUCUUUUUCACUCACUGCACAAGAGGUGGACAAGUUGGUAAGGUGCUUCGGGAAUAUAGAACUGCCAUUGGGUGGACAUUGACCGAUAUCAAGGGAAUUAGCCGUACCACUUGCAUGCAUUGAAUACUCUUGGAAGAAGGAGCCAAACCAUCAAGAGAAGCACAACGCUGGCUCAAUCCACCCAUGAUGGACGUUGUGAAGAAGGAAAUCAUCAAGCUACUAGAUUGUGUAGUGAUUUACCCAAUUUCUGAUAGCCAUUGGGUCUCGCCGGUCCAAGUUGUUCCUAAGAAGUCCGUAGUCAUUGUGGUAAAAAAUGAAGAUAAUGAGCUUGUGCCCACCCAAAUCUAAACAUCAUGGAGAGUUUGUAUUGACUAUCGGAAGCUCAACGCUACGAUAAGAAAAGAUCACUUCCCGCUACCCUUUAUUGAUCAAAUGCUGGAAAGGUUAACCGGUCAUUCGUUUUAUUGUUUUCUUGAUGGCUAUUCGGGUUAUAAUCAGAUUGUGAUAGCUCUUAAUGACCAAGAAAAUACUACCUUCACAUGUCUCUUUGGUACCUUUGCUUAUCGACGCAUGCCAUUUGGGCUAUGCAACACACCAGCCACAUUCCAAAUGUGUAUGGUAAGUAUUUUCUCAGAAUUUUUGGAAAAGAUCAUUGAAGUGUUUAUGGAUGACUUUAGUCAUUGAAGUGUUCCUAAGAAGUCCGUAGUCAUUGUGGUAAAAAAUGAAGAUAAUGAGCUUGUGCCCACCCAAAUCUAAACAUCAUGGAGAGUUUGUAUUGACUAUCGGAAGCUCAACGCUACGAUAAGAAAAGAUCACUUCCCGCUACCCUUUAUUGAUCAAAUGCUGGAAAGGUUAACCGGUCAUUCGUUUUAUUGUUUUCUUGAUGGCUAUUCAGGUUAUAAUCAGAUUGUGAUAGCUCUUAAUGACCAAGAAAAUACUACCUUCACAUGUCUCUUUGGUACCUUUGCUUAUCGACGCAUGCCAUUUGGGCUAUGCAACACACCAGCCACAUUCCAAAUGUGUAUGGUAAGUAUUUUCUCAGAAUUUUUGGAAAAGAUCAUUGAAGUGUUUAUGGAUGACUUUAGUGUUUUUGGUGACUCAUUUGAUGCAUGCUUGAAUAAUCUUACUUUGAUCUUACAAUGAUGCAUCGAAACUAAUCUUGUCUUGAAUUGGGAAAAGUGCCAUUUUAUGAUAAAACAAGGUAUAGUUUUGGGGCAUAUCAUAUCAGAAAAAGGGAUUGAGGUUGAUGUUGAUGCACAAAACCGGAUGUCUUGGAACAACGUAAAUCCGACCGUGAAUCUGCACAAACGCUCAAGAACACGAAGAACACAAAGAACACAAGGAUUUUAUCGUGGUUCACCCCAAGGUUUGGGCUACGUCCACACUGAUUGUAUUAUAUUUCUCUGAGAAGUGAGGGGGAGAGAGAGCUCUAGAAGUGAGGGGGAGAGAGAGCUCUAGAAAUGGCCUUUGAGAGUGAGAGUGAGGCCUCCCCUAGAAUGAGGGUAGGAGUCCCCUUUUAUAGAAUAAGGGGCUCCUCCUCUAUUACAUAUUUGCCCCUUCCUUUAUCCCAUAAUUACAUUUAAGUCCCCUGAGUAUUUGUACGAGAUCUAAAUACGAGGCCCUAAAUAUGGUAUAAACAGUAGUCCCCCAAGUCUUCAGUCAAGAGAGUCUUUUGGCUGGAGACUUGAAAUUCAGUCCAUGUGUGGGCCGAAGUAACUAGAUGUCGUCUAGAACUAAUGCUUGAUAUGAGGCGGUGCCCAAUCUGAAAUGAUGCUCAACUAGAAGUAGCACAUGUUGUAAGGCCGCUUUGCUUGUAGCUUGUGUUGCCUUGGUUGGCUCGGCUUAUGGUGUUGAAGGUGAAGGAGUCCCUUUUAUAGGAUAAGGGCUCACUCCUCAAUACAUAAGUGAUGGGCUAGAGUCCCCCAAGUAUUUUUCAUGAGGCCCAGUUGAGGCCCAAUAUAUGGUACAUAAUGUAGUCCCCCAAGUCUUCGGUCAAUGGAGUCUGUUGGCUGGAGACUUCAAAUUGAAUCCAUGUAUGGGCCGAAGUGGCGGUUGUUCGGAGGCGGUAUUUGUAUACCCUGCACUGAAGCUUUGUAGGUGAAGCUUUGUAGGUGAAGCUUUGCAAGUGAAGCUUUGAAGCUAGAGCUCUGUAAAUGAAGUCUUUGAAGCUAGAGCUCUUGUAAAUGAAGCUUUUGAAGCUAGAGCUUUUGUAAAUGAAGCUUUUGAUGCUAGAGCUCUUGUGAAUGAAGCUUUUGAAGCUAGAGCUUUGUAAAUGAAGUCUUUGAAGCUGAUUUGACAUGAGUGAUGCUCAUGCAUGUUUAUGUUGAUUGACAUGAGUGAUGCUCAUGGAUGUUGUCAUGAGUGAUGCUCAUGAAUGUUAACAUGAGUGAUGCUCAUGAAUGUUGACAUGAAUGAUGGUCAUGAAUGUUUAUGUAUGAUUAUCAUGAGUGAUGCUCAUGAAUGUCUAUGUAUGAAUGACAUGAGUAAUGCUUAUGUAUAAUUUGGAGUACUUGGCGUACUUUUGAUCGCCUGGUUGGAGCUAUUUUGGGCUUAUGGGUUUUCGCCCUCUACACAACAUUCCAGCCCAUUUACUUUGGGCUUUGCCCUUUUUUUUUUUUUUUUUUUUUUUUUUUUUUUACCCUCUGAUGGGGUUUAUACAUAUUACCCUCUGAUUGAGUUUAUACAAAUGUUUCCAAAAUAAAAGGAAAAUAAAUUACAUCAUUCUGAUGGGGUAUUUAUUUCCUGCUUUUGCAGUGUUUUUCUGUUGCACUCUCUGUGUCUCUUCACCUGGCAGACAGAAGGAAUCAUAAUAAUAGGAAAAUCUUUUGCUUUUCUCUUUUGCUUUUGUUUUUUGCUUUCUCUUUUCUGCUUUGUUCCCCACUGCCUUUUCUGCUUUUCUCUGCUUUCCCAUUGCUUUGAUUUUCGCUUUCUUUUUCUUUUUCUGCGUAGGCGCAGUGUAUUUUGAUCUAAAUCUGCCAAUAGUAUUGCUUUUGUCAGUGCUUUUGCUUUUCUUCUUUGUGAGCACAGGACCCCUCCAUAACUGCACCACUUUUUUCUUUUUCUUUUGCAUUGUCUCCCAUGUGCUCUCGAAGAGGGCCUCCAUUUUCUUUUUCUUUUUCUUUUGCACCUCUCUGUCUUUUCAUCUUGCAGAAGGACUCAUAAUAAUAGAAAGAUCUUUUGCUUUUCUUCUUUUCUCUCUGCGUUUCUGUCUUUUGCUUUUGUGUCGUAGCUCGCUUGAUUGUUUUUCUUUUUUGCUUUCUUCUUUUACUUUGCUUUGCUUUUGCUUUCCACCUUAAUGAUUCUGUUGCUGGUUCUUGGUGGAGAAAAUAGAGGCGGUGGAAAAGCAGUCAAAGUCUUGGAGCAAUUGGUCAAUUCUGCCCCUCAUGGCCUCGAUGUCCCCCGCACUCACAAAUAAUUCCCUGACAAGAUAACCUUGGGAGCAGAAAGUCUGGAGCUGGUCAGGACUGAGAUUUCCGACGAUUCCCAUAGCGCUGAUGACGGCAUCGACCAUCACGUCGAAGAGGUUCCAGUACUGGAUGCCCGUGGUGAAGUCGUCUCGAAAUCCCAAUGGGUGCUCUUUUUUUUUGACUUGGUUGCUCGUUGGUUGCCAUCGCCUACGACGUCGUAAGGAUGACCUUUCGGAGGAGAAGAUAUUUUGUCUUGUAAUUGGAGUACCAACAGAGGGUGCUGCAGGGGCAAAACACUUGCCAGCGGAGAUUGUGACCGUUGCAUGCCUUGACCACUUUGUACUUGCUGAUCUUCUUGUAGCAAAAGGCAUUGGUGCAGUAACCACCACUACUCUUGUCAAGAAUGUAGGCCGCAGGUCCCGUCGCUAGCUUGGAGAACGCGUCCACUUUUGUGUUAGCUGUGAUUUUCCAAUUGCUAUCUAUGGACACCUGAGCCCUUGUGAGCAUGCUUUUUGUCUGGAUUGUGCGGCGGGUGAGAUUAGCAGAGUGCACAUGAGGGAAAAGCAUGCAGUUUGGAGGAGAGAAAGGGAAGAGAGAGAGAAGUGUGAGAAACGAAAGAUUUAAGAAGCUGAUUUGUCUGCGUCUGUUUGGAGACGAUACGAGACCCAGUUCGGAUCCAUAUUCACAACUCACGUGUUUGGAGAGCUGACCGUGCUCUUCACCGACCCGAAGACCAAUCGAUUCAUCCUGCAGAACGAAUGGAAGCUGUUCGAGUGCAGCUACCCAGGCUCCAUAACCAACCUUAUGGGGAGGCACCCUUUGUUGCUGAUGAAGGGCGGCUUUCUGCUGCUGUUGCUGCAUGAAUCUGAUUUUCUUGAGAUGAGGCAGGCCAUGAAAUCUCUAAUCCAUUUGUGGGUCUUGGUUUUUUGCUGGAGAAAAUUAAUUUGGUGGGCUGAGUUCCUCCUUCGUGGGCUUCCCAUAUCUCAGAGGAUUUGGAUAUGUUGCCAAAGAGAUUGCACUCCUGCAUGAUGGUGUUGUAUGGCUGUAGCAAUAGUGGUUGUUUGUUCAUAAAAAAGUCACGGAGGAAGUGAUGGAUGAGUUCUAGAUCAGUGGGUUUGAAGUGGAAAGUUUGGGUUGUUGGAUUUUUGCAGAUUUUACAGAUUCACGGUGGACAGUGAUGAGGUCUCACGGUGGUGGUGGUGGUGAGAUGAAAAAAUGAAAGAGAACCGACAUAGUUUUUUGUGUCGUUUCCCACAGACGGCGCCAAAUGUUGAUGCACAAAACCGGAUGUCUUGGAACAACGUAAAUCCGACCGUGAAUCUGCACAAACGCUCAAGAACACGAAGAACACAAAGAACACAAGGAUUUUAUCGUGGUUCACCCCAAGGUUUGGGCUACGUCCACACUGAUUGUAUUAUAUUUCUCUGAGAAGUGAGGGGGAGAGAGAGCUCUAGAAGUGAGGGGGAGAGAGAGCUCUAGAAAUGGCCUUUGAGAGUGAGAGUGAGGCCUCCCCUAGAAUGAGGGUAGGAGUCCCCUUUUAUAGAAUAAGGGGCUCCUCCUCUAUUACAUAUUUGCCCCUUCCUUUAUCCCAUAAUUACAUUUAAGUCCCCUGAGUAUUUGUACGAGAUCUAAAUACGAGGCCCUAAAUAUGGUAUAAACAGUUGAUAAAUCUAAAAUAGAUCUUGUACGCCACUUACCCUCUCCCACUUCGGUGAGGGAGGUUCGUUAUUUUCUUGGCCAUGCAGGAUUUUAUAGGAGAUUCAUCAAGGAUUUCUCAAAAAUCGCCCAACCUCUUUGCCAUUUACUCCAAAAGGAAGUAGCUUUUGAGUUCAACAAGGAGUGUGAGACCGCUUUUAAAACUCUCAAGGACAUGUUGACUUCGGCCCCCAUCAUCAUGCCACCAGAUUGGAGCCUUCCAUUUAAGCUAAUGUGUGAUGCAUCCGAUUAUGCCAUUGGUGCUGUUUUAGGCCAAAGGAGGAACAAACAGCCCCACGUCAUCCACUACGCUUCUCGGACCCUUAACGAUGCUCAAUUGAAUUAUUCUACCACUGAGAAAGAACUUCUUGCAGUUGUAUUUGCUUUAGAUAAAUUUCGUUCAUACUUACUUGGCACUAAAGUGAUUGUAUAUUCUGACCAUGCAACGUUGAAGUAUCUUCCCACCAAGAAGGAGGCCAAACCAAGGCUGAUUCGUUGGAUGCUCCUACUUCAAGAGUUCAACAUUGAAAUAAGAGACAAAAAGGGGAGUGAAAAUGUGGUGGCUGACCACCUCAGCCGUUUGGUGCACGAGAAUGACUCCUUACCCAUUCUAGAGACCUUCCCUGACGAGCAAUUGCUGUCCCUAGAGGUAAGUGAGCCCUGGUAUGCUGAUUUGGUCAAUUAUUUGGUCACAAAACAAGUUCCUAGCACUCUAGAUAAAUACAAGCGUGAUAAAAUCAGAAAUGAUGCACGAUUUUAUGUGUGGGAUGAUCCAUAUUUGUGGAAGUAUUGUCCUAACCAGAUUAUUCGUAGAUGUGUGCACAAUUCCGAGUUUAAUUCAAUUCUUGCAUUUUGCCAUAGUUAUGCAUGUGGGGGUCAUUUUGGUACCCAAAGGACAGCCCUUAAGGUUUUAGAGAGUGGUUUCUAUUGGCCUACAUUGUUUAAGGGUGCUAGAACAUUUUGGUAUAACUUGUGAUAGAUGCCAAAGAACAGGUACAAUAAGUGUCAAUGACCAAAUGCCGCAAACCCCCAUCUUUAAUGUGGAGAUCUUUGAUGUAUGGGGUAUGGAUUUCAUGGGACCUUUUCUGCCCUCAUAUGGUUUUACUUAUAUUUUGCUAGUCGUUGAUUAUGUGUCGAAAUGGGUGGAAGCCAAAGCCACCUAUACUAACGAUUCUAGAGUGGUGGUAGAUUUUAUCAAGGCUAACAUCUUUUCUAGAUUUGGCAUGCCGAGGGUGUUCAUAAGCGAUGGAGGCUCCCACUUUUGCAAUCGCACCAUUGAGGCACUGUUUAAAAAGUACAAUGUGAAGCAUCGGGUUUCCACGCCAUACCACCCUCAAACAAGUGGCCAAGCCGAGGUCUCGAAUAGAGAAAUCAAGCAAAUCUUGGAGAAGACUGUUGGGCUAAACCGGAAGGAUUGGAGCUUGGGUUUAGAUGAUGCACUAUGGGCAUAUCGCAUUGCCUACAAAACACCUCUAAGGAUGUCUCCAUUUCGACUAAUCUACGGCAAGCCGUGUCACCUACCUGUGGAACUGAAGCACAAAGCGCACUGGGCUGUGAAAACAUUCAAUUUGGACUUAGAUGUUGCUGGAAUGAAUAGGAAGCUCCAACUGAAUGAACUUGAGAAGAUACGGAACGAAGCCUAUGAGAAUGCACGAAUUUACAAGGAGAAAACAAAGGUGUUUCAUGACAAAAUGAUUCGGGGAAAAACAUUUUCAAUUGGACAGAAAGGGCUACUAUUCAAUUCCCAUCUAUGCUUGUUCCUUGGUAAGUUACGGUCUAAGUGGAUUGGGCCAUUUGUUGUCACUAAUGUUUUUCCCCAUGGUGUAGUCCAAGUUAAAAGCUUAAGGAACGACGACGAAUUCAAAGUGAACGGGCAUCGCCUGAAGCUAUACUAUGAGAGUGAUGUGGGACAGAUUGUGGAAGAAAUCCCACUCAGUGCCGUGGGCCCAAUUCAAGCUUAGAAGGAAGUUUCGUCCGGCUGCAAGACGUUAAAGUAAGCGCUUCUUGGGAGGCAACCCAUGUUUUACGUUCCUAAAAACCUUCCAUUUUCUGCAGUUUUAUUUUGCCAUGAUUGUCAUUUUUAUUUGUUGCUUGUUUAAUUGUUUUUUGUGUGGGUUUAUUUUAGAAACAUUGACAGAUAUGCAAGGUAUUUUUAAAUUAAAAUUCGUUGAAAAUGAAUAGGAGGCAGAAAAAUACAAGAGGGAGCCUUCACAAAGGCUGCUUAGGAGAAGUCUCAGUAGUCGACGGAGCCUCAGCAGUUGGCAGAGCCACAGAAGGAGGAGGUAUUGGAGGUUGAUCAUUUGGAGCUUCACUAUGCGGUACAGCCCCAGAAGACGAAGGCAAAUGUUGUUGGAACAAACCCACAAACGUCUGAUGAUCAAGUAAAAUCUGACCAUCAGAUUCCUGCAUCUGGUCAAUCUUCCUCUUCAUGUUUGUAGCAUAGUUGUGUGCAAGCCUGUGCAACUGUUUAUUCUCAUGCUUGAGCCCUCUAAUCUCCUGUUUGAGACUCAUCACUUCAGCCGCCAAUGAUUUAACUUGACGGGUUAGAGCAAAUAGACGUUGGGUCAUAUUGGACAUAGAACCUGCACACUGCACACUGAGAGCCAGAGAAUCCUUAACAGCUAACUCAUCAGAUCGUUUGGAAAGUAGUCUGUUAUCUUUGGGAGUGACAAGGUUCCGAACCACCACCCCAGUGGUCAUAUCAUUUUUCAUCACCGAAUCCUCAACGGUAAGAGGACCAGUAAGGGAUAUGAAGGAUGGGCGCCAUAUAUUGUCAUGAGAAGGCAUAGAUGCCUCUUCACCAAGGUUCGAGUUGAAACGACGGUCGGAGGGGCCAAACAUUUUCAAAGGUGUUGAAGAAAAAAGAGGUCGGACAAAUUAGGAUCUUAGAAGUGCAAGAAGGGAGUUUCUACAGGCGAAAAUUCAAGUAUACUUUGAAACAAACUGCGCGCCUUUAUAAAAAUCAGCACUCGACGGGAUUUUAGAAAUCAAAGAGGCGAGCUCAAAAAUCAAAGAGACGAGCUCAGAAAUCGAAAAGGCCAAUUCAAAAAUCGAAGAGGCGCUAGCUUUCUCAAAAGCUAGGCGUGCUCAGAAACCACAGGCCAUCCUCUUUUCCAAAUUUGUCCGCACUUGUCACUUGCAACCUCUGUACUCGACGGAGCUCAGAAAUCGAAGAGGCGAGCUCAAAAAUUGAAGAGGCAAGCUCAGAAAUAGGAGAGGCAUUUGCUUUUCCAGACGUGUUAGCAUCUGUCACAUACAUACUCAGCCUUGCGGAAAUUACGGGUAAUCUGUCGAAGGUUUCUGGUGACGUAGAAAACACGUGAAGUUUACUGUUCAAUCAUCCAAUGGUCGCCGACAAAAGUGAAAGAAUAGUACCGGUUAUUAAUUCAUAUAAAUUUUGACCUUCACCCUCCAUUGCAAGGCAGACAUACAUAACCCUUCUUCAUCUCCGAGAAUGCCUUCCCAACAAAACCUCUCGAGUCACUCAGUGUUCCUUAUUCCCUGAGAUACCCCUGCAAACAACCCAUCAAAAGAAAAAGUAUUUCAUAUCAUGAAGGUUGAAAGCAAGAGUAUCUCAUAUCAUGUUUUCUCCCUGUCCUUCUCCUUGUCGUUGUUUUUCACUUGCGGGACAAGGAGAAAGAGAGCAAUCAGCCAGCACUUGGUAUCAAUCUUCCGAUCUGGAACCGACUGCCUGGAACCCCUUCCUGAUUGCUUACCUAGCCUUGCUCUCGAGUACUCAUCUUCAACAUCUUAUGCUUCCUCUUCGUCUACCACAUCUGCCUGGGAAACAGAUAAGGAAGUGAAAAUGAUACCUCGAAGCAUGUGGAGACAAUGUGCUAAUUCAUCCUCAGCUAGGGACAAGGAGAAAGAAAGCAAAUGGUGGGCACUUGGAAAGAUUGAAGAAAGAAACAGACCAUCACCUCUACCUCGUGCCUGCCUGCCGUGCAGAAGAAACAAGCAGAGAAGAAUGCAGACUGCACAAUCAAAUCAACCCAGGAAAGUCUGAAUAAUCCUCGCUCAGAAUUCCAAACCAGUUCGAGAUCAAAGCUGUGGAAAGUCAACAAGAUCAUCUAUCUCCAAAACCAGAUUUGCGUUCUUAAACUCUACUCUGUCUGGUUUUUACUUUGCCAUACUUGUCAUGUUUAUUCGUUGUUUGUUUGUUUGCUUGUUUUUGUGUGAGUUUAUGCUUGAAACAUUGAGGACAAUGUUUGAUUUAAGUGUGGGGGGGGGGGGGGUAACCAAGUUGUUUUGCAUGAAAUUCGUAGGAGUUUAUCACCCAUUACUUCUAGUGUUGUUCCUUGCUGUUUUAAAGUGUUUUAAGUUGUUUUGGAGUGUUUUGGAGUGUUUUGACAUAAAAAUCCAAAAAUCUCAUAAAAAUUUGAAAAACUGUUUUGAAAAACCUAAAAAAAGAGUUGUUUUUGUGUGUUUAUUUGUGUCUUAGGGUACCUUCCAACACAAUGAUGAGGAUUUGGUUUUUAAUUACAUGACUGUUAAAGAGAGUUAUAACAUGGAUGAAAAUUUGAUUUACUCUUUGGUGUAUGCUUGGUUGUGGUUAUAAUUUAUGAAUUCACAUGCAAUCAUAAAGGCAAAAUCAGUUUUUGUAACAUGCUUGAAGGAAGGAACUCAAAUGAACGCUACAACCUUGUGAGACUUGAGCCUAAACGUUUAUUUGGAGAGUUAAUAAUCUGUGCAUCAUUGUUUUCUAAAGUCGUUGCAUGAUCUCAUUAUUCUUUGCUUGGUUGCUACUUAGAAGGCGUUUCAUCAUUUAGUUCCAAAUGCUAGAACUCAUGCCUAUUUCAUUCAAAGCAUGCUAUUGAUUUGCAUAACACAUAUUCAAGAUGAAGUUGUGUAGUGACCACCAAAGCCAAAUUGCCGUGCCCCUAUUUCAUUAUGUGUUUAAGUUUAACCCCGUUGAGCCUUGUUAAGCCUAUGUUCUUUGUUAACCCACACUAUCCUUACCUAGCCUAGUUUUAGGACCAUCCAUACCCUUGUUCUUGAAGCAUAGUAAAGCAUGAUUUAAAAUGAACUCCUUUUUUUAUCAAUGUAUUGCAGAAAGCAAGUGUGGGGGAAGUGAUUCUUGUGUGUGUGUGUGUGCCAAAGUCCUUAAUAAGGCACGGGUAGAAAAGAAGUAAAAAAGAAUUGAAAAAGUAUGAAAAAGAGCUCUAAAGUGUUGUUUGUUAAAGAAAGGGUCCAAAACAUUGAAUUCGGCCCUAAGUGUUGCAUGAAUCUUCCCUUUGUAUUUAAAAGUUGAUUCUGCAUUCUAAAGUGAAUUUCCAAGUGUCUAUUUCAUUGCUUUGCUUGCUAUCGCUUUAAGAACGUUUGUUAUCCCUAUCCUUUCUUUGUUAGCCAUUACCCCCAAGCCCUGUUACAACCCUUGACUUCAAUCUUGAGUGUUGUGUGUUUCAAUUUGUGGAGUUCGAAAUUGGUAUGAGCAUAUGGUGUCACUGGUUCUCGCAUCUAAGUAGUAGCAUUCCAUUCAUGAGAUCAUAUCUAAACAUGCUUAAUAACUCCAGAAAAUUGCUUUCUUUGUUAUAAACAUAUGUGAGUCCUAGUGUUUCGUGUUUACAUCAAUCUUCUCACAUAUACUAGUGUAGGGUGUGUAGUCAGAAAAUGUGUGUGAAAAUAGAGAGUAUCUUGUAAGGAAUUGAGCAAAUUCUCUAAGGCAUGUUACUACAUUCAAAACAUUGUUUUAAUUGGUUAAUUGUGAACUAGUAAGUGGUGACUGUGAUUAAGUAUGUGCUCAAGUGUAAAUAUGACCAAAAUCUGUGGGAAUGAUGAUUUUUAACAUGUCAUGUUUCAUUAAAAAAUCCCUGAGGCAAAUGUUGGAAGGUCUAGGUUUGUUUUUUGUUUGUUUUGUUUGUUUUGUUUUGCUCGAGGACUAGCAAAAGCUAAGUGUGGGGGAAUUUGAUAGGAGCAUAUUUAUGCGACUUAGUUAGCUUGUUCUUGCAUUUAUGUUGUUAUUUCUUAGUUAAUUAUGUAUUUUAAGCUAUUUUCGUGUGUUUGUAGGUCCAUAGGCCUUAUAAAGCAAUAAGAUGCAUUUUGGAGCAGUUUUGGGCUUGAAAUGGAUAGCAUAUGCAUGGAGCAAGGUGGAUGAACGAAAUUGAAGACUAAAGAGGCUAGGAAUGUGUUAAAGAGAAAGAAUAAUUAAUGUAAAAAGGACAAAGAGCUCAGCCACAAAGGGGUGUCACUCCACCAUUCACCUUUCCAUCAUUGUUGUGUACCAUCAUUGCACUCCCUUUGGAUUCCUAUGCCGUGCAUCAUCAUCCAUGUUCCCUCCAUUGACUCAUUUGUUGCAUCAUUCCACUUCCUUUCCUUUGUCUACCAUGUGCACAAUAUCCUUUCACCUCCUUGCACUCAUUGAUUCACCACUUACUCACUUUCCCACCCAUGCCAUGCAUAAUCACCCUUGUCCCCUACAUGCACCAUUACACUCAUUAUCCACCCAUGCCGUGCAUCAUGAGUCUUGCUGUACCUUUGACUAAUUUCUGCACCAUUCCACCUCCCUUUCCUUUCUCUACCAUGUGCACAAUCAUUCAUGUUCCCUAGUUGCAACACCACUCCAUUUUACCCCCUAUGCUUUGCAUCAUUACUUCACUUUCACCUUUGAAUUAUUUCAAACACCACUCAAUGCAAUCAUUGCUGUAACACAACUCCAUUUUACCCCCCAUGCUUUGCAUCAUUACUUCAUUUUCACCCUUGAAUCAUUGCACACACCACCAAUUUCCCUCCAUUGCCGUGCACUUCCUCUAUAAAAAGAAGUGUGUGUGGCAGCCAUAUAGUUGAGUUUUUGCUUGAUCAUUCAUCCCCAUAUCAAUACAACCUUCACCCAAACAUCCAUUCAUCUUUACAUCCAUUCCUCCAUAUAAACAAACCUUCAAACACUCACCAACACCUUGUGCCGUAGCAAAGGAAGGGAAAGAAAGUGCUCGGACGUGCUUGCUGUCCAACUUGGAUCGUUAGAGCAUUUAGGUCUUUUCUUUCUUUUGUUUCUAAUGUUUAAAUUCAUUUCCUUUCAUUUUGUUGUAAAUAUGAGUGGCUAAACCCCUCUUGGCUAGGGGUGAUUUCAAAGCCAUGAUUAUGUGUGCAAUAUAAUUUGAUAAAUUCCAGUUAUGAACUCUUGAAUCGUGAAUGCAAUUGGCUUAACUAUUUGAUUGAUAACUUAUUUGUAUUUGUUAAUUAAGGGUCGACACUUAAUUGCCAUGCAUAAAUCCGUUGCUAGAAUAUAAGGAAGUUUCACAUAAUCGUUACAAACUUAUAUUCACAUGUAGUGAAGGUCGCUUAUAAACGAUCGCGUUAAGUUCAAUUCCUAACAUAAGCGACAUGAUGUCAUAGUUGCAAGUACUUUGUCAAUGCUUAUGAUUUUCAUUAAACGCAAUGAUCUUUGAUUGUAUCUUUAUUAUGAUGUCAUGUAGGGAACUUUUGAAGAAUGUUUUGGGUUGUCGAAUGAUGUCAUCCAAUCCAAUAAAACAAGGAAAAUCUGAGAGUUAACUAGUGAUGUCACGGUUAAUUUGGAGCGUUGUCGUUCAUAAUUCAAUGAAGUAGUAACUAGAAAUCAAGUUAUUUGCAUACAUGUCAUGUGUGGAUAAAAAGCCUCUAGCUAUUCCAUCCAUCAUCUUAUUUCUCAAAUUUGUUUUACAAUCUGUCUAGUUUUUCAUAUUUGUUUGUUUGUUUCAUCUUAAUCCCAAUCAAAACCCCCCUUUUAGUUUCUUGUUUCAAAGUGUUUCAAAUUUGUUUUAGUUUGUGUUUUUAAGUGUUUUGAUUCAAGUAAAAGUCAAUUUUAGUUCAAAGUCAUUCCUAGUGUCUAGUUUAAGUUUAUUUGGUGGUUUUAAGCUGUUUUGAGUAUUUUAAGUUUGCUUUGAGUCUUGUGAGUCUUGUUAAGUGUUUUUAAGUUUAGUUUUAUGUUUUCGAGUCAAUUUAGAGGUUAUUAGCAUGCCAUCCUAAUCCCCGGUUCAGAACGAUCCCUACUUAUACUUGUACUACAAUUGUCAAAAGAGGGUUAAAUUUGUGUGUUAAGUUAACUUUCGCAUCAUCCUCCACCACAAACCCAGCAACCCCCCUCUAUUAAUCUCCCAUCUCUCUUCUCUAGUGAGACCAACCCAAUCCCUUACUUCCCCAGCGAGCCCACUCCCAACCCUUCUCUUCUUCGGCAAGAUCAUCACUAAUAUCUUCUUUUUCCAGUGACUCCACUCCACCCAUCUCCUCUUUGACGACCUCAAUAACCCCAACGCCUCUAUUCACAGGCUAGCCCACCUUGAAUCCUCUCUUUUAUGGUGACCUUACUCCAGUACACUUCGACAUCAAUCGCACUCUAUUCCUCGUUGACAGCGAUGAGUUGGUUACUAAAAAUCCCCACUUCAUUCCUCAUUGACUACGACGAGUUGGUUAUUCAGAAACCCUACUUUAUUCCUCUUAGCCGGUUGAAUUCAUCGGUUUAAUAUGGGUGUUACGAAGGAAGGUCAACAGAGGCGAGAAAUGGGGGUGGGUUGGUUGGGUCGACCAGGAAAUCAUCAGAUUAGAAGGGUGAUGGCGUUGGAUCGGUGUGUUCAACGUCAGUUUGGGUAAGUUAGUCAUUUAAUCUUUUGGUUCCAUUUGCCAUGCACAUCCGAACACAAAAUGAAAUAACCAUUCCGUUCCAUCAUGCGUGUACCAAACAUAACACAGAAUCUCUGUUCCAUCCUAUUUUAUUCAAUUCUAUUUCAUCUCGUUCUGUCCCGUUUAUGUACCAAACGGCACUGUAAGGAACCAACCCUUGUGAAUUGAGAUUGUGAAGAAAGUCUUUAAGAACUUGGGCCUAGCCCAAAUUCUCCACUUGAAACCAAUUAAUCUUGCAUCUAUAAUGCCUUGGUGCCAUUUGAUUAAAAUCAGACUGGUGAUAAUUAAGCAAAGGAAACUAUACAAGAAAGUUGAAAAUGUUGCAGUCCUAUUAGAUUAGGAAUGUGAUUGUGUAAAUCCUAGUAUAUCUUGGAAUAUCUCUUAUAUUCCUAUUAGGAGUAUAUUACCUAUUAAAUGUUGUAAUUCUAAAGGGUAAGGAAUUAACCUUCCCUACUACUAUAAAUAAAGGCACAAUGGGGUGGAAUAGAACACACCCACAAUUACACAUCUCUCUCUUUCCCUCUAUCUAUGCCGCACCCCUCUCUCUCUUUGGCCUUCAUAAUUGUUCAGUAAAUUAUGCCUACAACACGUUAUCAGCAUGCUCUUAACGCUAUGCUAAAGAGAGUUUAUUCUUCAAUCAGGGGAGUAUUACGUUUUAAUCAUUCUUUUAUGAUUAAUUUAUUAAUUUAUUGGAUUGAUAUACAUCCUAUUGAUUCAAUUUAAUUUUUCUAUGUUGAACGUGAUACAACGCAUUGGAGAUGCAAUUCCGGCUUUCCGAGAAGAAUCUUUUACAAAUUUAAAGGCUUUUGUUGUUUUCUGCCAAUCAGGUACGCUUAAAAUAAAAUAAGAUAUUUGAAACGACCUUGAAGCAUGAAAACAUUCCCCAUGAUGCAUGAACCCCCCUAUGUUUAUAUUUUCCUUCCGAUAUAUAUAUAUAUAUAUAUAUAUAUAUUGUAUAUGUUUUAUAUAUUGUAUAUGUUUUAUAUAUUGUCAAUAUAUAUAUAUAUUUGUUUCAUGCAUUACGCAAUUAUAAAAUUGCUAUGUGGAGUUUGUGAGUCAAAGAAUCGAAAUAAAAUAGAAGCAUGAUUUUUUUUUGGUUCUAAAACCCUAGAAAUCGAAAAGAAAGAAAGAAAAGAAAAAAAAACCCAAAAUCGUAACCAGGCCACGGCUGGAAGUCUUGACUCAACCAAACUAGUUGAGCCUGCAACUCUUGAAACUUGGGCUCUCGGCUAACUUUUUUUUGGCCCACAAAAUAGGCCUGAGUCCUUGGUAUUGGGCUUCACGCCCACAACCUUUGACCAAAAAGGCAGCGCAUGCUGGGCUUUCCAUAACACACAGCCCGCGUCACAAUUGCAAGCCAACAACUUGCUUCACACGUUGGGCUGCAAUCAACUUUCCCAAACCACUAGCAGCCAUCUGGGCUGCCGUGCAGCCGUGGCUUACCCUUUAUAGCAUAUUGUAGGCUGUGUAUCUCACAGCCAUCCAAUAAGUGUUGGGUUGUGGUUUUCUUGGCCCAAAAAUCAUUUUCAGCUUGUUUUUUCUUUUCAGCCCACAUUUUUGGUGCCCUACUCACGGCACCCAAGCCUAAUGUUAUUGGGCUAUGGAUUUUUGAAUCCAAUGCUAAUUUUUGGCAUUUUAAAUAAUUUUAACCCGAAUGUUAUAAUUAUUUUUGCUUCUACGAUCGACCCUGUUUGGUCCUGAUCUAUUGAAUUAAUUAAAAGUGACAUGCAGUCCAUUAAUCUGAUAAUGAAUCCAAAAUUAUUGACCUGAAGAUCACUUUUGGACAUUAACGAUUAAAUAUUUUAUUUCUUUUCUUUGAACCGUUGACAUACUUUCGUAGUCCCGAAGCACUCACACUUGAGUUCCUGAAGCAACCGAAAUCCACUACAUUUAGUUAUAUAUUGCAUUUUGUGUUCUUGCAGGAACCUCUCUUUUAUGAACUAAACGUUCAUAAACUAAAUUGAACCUGUAGUUUCAAAUUUAGUGCCUUUGAAACCCGAAGUUUUCAUAAAACAAUACACCCAUGAAAACCCAAUGUUUUUCAUGAAAACCAUGUCUUAGAACUUGAAUAUUCUAACUUUGAUGCUUAUGGAUGAUUCAUUUCCAUAGCAACAAUCACAAUCUUGUUCCCUCCAAUUUAAUGGAUUAUCGAACCGUCACAAGUUUGGUUUUCCUAAUUUGGACGUUUUCUAAGAGAAACCACUUUAUGUGGGGUACAAGACAUGAAUCUCCACUUGACUAUUAAGAAGCUGAGAAACCAUUGAAGCCAACAAUGGCAUGGAAGAGUUGAAUAAGCCUCCGCCAUGAUCUUCAUUCAAAGACUUAUGCUCAAAGCAUUACAAAUAGAAAUACCUCCCGAUCGAGGAUUCCAUGGCUCUUUGGCUCGCUCAUAUGGACUGUAUAAUCAUGAAAGACAUUGCUUGAAACACACCAUGAUUACGUCUAUGAAUGAGUACAAUUCUGAAGUUUAUAAAUUCGAUCGAAUUUUGAUUAGAGAAUACUUUUCUCGUCGUUCCUUGUUUCUAACUCACCCCUGAAACAGCAGUGUAGAAAGCUAAAGUUUACCAAAUUCUUGGAUCUGAUUACUACCACAAACGUGAAAGAAAAGUAUGGACCUAGCCCGGCUGGAGUCUACCUAAUAGCUUGACCCAGUUCAGUCAAAGCCUACCGAAUGGUGAUGCACUGCUUCGGUAGGGAUACAUCGAAUGGCAUAUUCUCUCAUAAUCCAAUUUCGAGUUUAUUUUUACAACAUAUGGUAAAAUCAGGGCCUGCCAAAGUGUGGCAUCAUGCCCGAAGCAUGAUCCUUGGUACCUAAGACCUAAAACUUUAUGAAUAAGGGAAAAUAUUUCCAAACUUCAACCCUGCAGAGUCCAUUUUCGUCUCGAUAGAAUAGAUCAUUGAUUAUGCACCUUUUCAUGCCCCUACCAAUGUUGUUAACGAGUACCAUUCUAGUAGUCAAUGUGAGACUAAUUUUGCUUCACCAAACAUUGUUGGAAGAGCAGAAUUUUGAUAUGGAUUGGCCGAAUGCCCUUAGAAAACCAUGUACUUUGUGAACAUUUUUUUCAUGUUCUUGGAUUCACAUUUGGUGAUUGUUUUACUUAUGGAUAAACUUAUUGAUAUUGUCCUCGAAUAUGAGUUAAUUGAAUCAUUUUUCUUAAUACAUGUGACCGAUUCAAUUAAACAUGUGAUUAGAUAGGAAUGUGGGAAAGUUAGUUGUUUAGAUAAAUGCAUACUACGCAUACUAACUUUACUCCUAAAUCACAUCUCUAACAACGACUUCAGGUCUAUCCAACCUGAUUAAGAGCAUUAGCAUGCUCCUCGUUGUAUGAAUGGUACUGCAUCACCAUUUAAGGGACCUUAAAUUCUCCCUGACGUUGAGUUUUUAAGGAUAUUCGAGAUGACAAUGAUCAUAAAUGAAACCAUUGAAGAAAACAGAGUGAAAUAUCUUUGCACCACCUCUAAAAAUAAGCUUGAAGCUUUGAUUUGGGGCCAAUGGAUUGUCUCCUAACUGGAAACACGCCAUAUGUGGCUGGCCUGAAGCUUGGUGAUUGAGUAGUUUACUUAUUUUGGCAUGACCUUUUGGGACACUUAGGUCGCACAAUAAUGCUACGACGCAUCUCCUUACCUGAAAUAAGGAUCUUGUGCCUACAAGCACACUUUGCCAAAACCCACUUAUUUUGGGAAAUUUGAUUUCUAAAUCAUCCCUAGCAAAGAUACGAAAUCACCCUUUUUUUCAUAGUGGAUUCAAGGGAAUAUAUGUGGAUUAAUCCAGCCAAAAUGCGAAACAUAUAAAUUCUUAUGGUUUUGGUUGAUGAAUCGACAAACUGGUCACAUGUUUGUCCACAAACAUUACUGCUAAACGUCAUGGCCCAUUAAGGGUUCACCACCUUACUUAUCCCUUAAGGUCUGAGAGACUGGAUAAUGCCGAAGAGUUUAAAUUGACCGUUUUCGAUAAAGUAUUGCAUGUAUUUUGGUUUUAUAAUUGAACAUUGAAUUCCAUGUUCACCCCAAAGAGCCUCGCCUAGUGAUCGUAAAGCACAAUUUAAAUGAUCGCCCAAAUUUUGGUAAACGUACCAAGUUUUCGAUUUUCGCCUAGGGUUAUGCAAUCCUUGUACACAGUUAUGUUGGUUUGCCUUGAGGCCCAUUGCCACCCAACCUAUAUGAUGUUACAGUUGGUUACUAGGUACGAACCUAACGAUUUUCGUAUUUACGCAUUUGGGUGCAUUCCAUGUGCCAAGUUGCUCCGCCGCAAUGUACCACCAUGAGUCCUCAAAGAAGGAUGUCUAUCUUUUAUCGAUCAUGAUUCUCCUUCACCUUUGCUCUCUUAGAGCCCUUGCAUGCAAUCUCUUUACUGCUCAUUUACGAGUUGUCACUUUAAUGAGACAUUUUUCUUACCGUUAAGGGAAGAUAAGAAUGUCAAUGUUCCUGUAGAAUGACGCGAAUUUGCAUGGACGUUGCCCACUAUGUCUCAUCUAGAUCCCCAUACCGCACAAGUGUGAUAAGCAAGUGUGAUGAAUUCUAGAUUUCAGAAUGUUGCUCUAGACACAUUCCUCUGAUCUAGCUAAAGUGACGAGAUCAUAUACCAGUUGCAGACAUGCCUGCAAAGAUAGACGUAUUUAACGAACGUCGAGUCAACAUCCUUUGAGGGUGUGCCACCCCUGUUGGAUGGUUUGGAUGCCCCUGUUAGACGGUCUGGUAAACUGACGGAUAGCCAAUCAAUUUGUCUUGGCCCGGAGCACGAUAGAUCAUUCGGUUCGUAGGAUUCACUUCCCUAGAAGAGCAAGAUACGGCAUAAUAAUAAAUCUAAACUCAAUCGCUGUCUCAAAUCAUUUUCAUCUCAUGAGAUUAAUCCGAAUUUCUCCCGAGGCUUAAAGUUCUUAGUCCAGUAUACUAGUUUGGACGAGCUAAAUGGAAUUGAAAUGAGAUUAUCAUCAACGAUGUUUUCACUUAUAUGGUAGCUACCGACAUAAAUGAAAAGUGACGAUAUCGAACUGUGUUCCGUUGAUUAAGUGACAACGUAGAACUGAUUGGACAACUAAAGUUACAAUCCAGGUCAAAUUCCUUACCAAAGUGUGUAUUGGACCUGUCGUUCCUACCCUGUCCAAGGUAACCUUGUUGUGUUACAAGUGGGAAAAGAAACGUUAUGAGAUGAAUGAAAUAGUGCAAUAUGAUGCACGCCAUACGGCGCAAGGUUUCUCUCAAACGUCAUGUGAUUAAUAGCAGCAUUAUGAAAUGUGGUUAGUGUUUUCUCCAUAGGGAUAUAGAUACGGAGAUUUACAUGUAAGUUCUCGAAGAAUUACAUGGACUGUUUAAAAUAGUUCCAAAACCACAAAACACCCUUUGAACUUGUUUUGAGGCGUUCACUUAGGUACCGUUUGGUACGUGGGACGGGACAGGACGGAAUGGGACGAGAUGUUCCGUCCCACGUUUGGUGCGCCUAAAAACUGUGGAACAGGUUGUCCCAUGAGACGAAAUUUGGUUGAUUUUUUGUUCCACUUCUUCCCCCUGGAACGACCCGUUCCACAUCCGUGGAACACAAAUUUAUAACAUUUUAUGACAAAAUUUCUCCUUAUGUUUUUCAAUAUUUACAUCAUCCGUUCCGUCUUGUCCCGUUCCGUCCCGUCUGCGUACCAAAUGAUACCUUAUGGAUUGAAAAAUCCGACGGAUGUGGUAUACCCAUCUAAGUGAUUAUUUGAUCAGUCAGGGAUGAAUUAUGGCAUGUUAAACUAUGAAGUCUUAUUCCAAAUUGCUAGAGUUAUAGUUUAUGUCGUUGACACGAAUCUCACUAAGACUCUAGAAGAGCUUGAUAAAACUGCCUCGCACCUGAAGAUGGAAUUUGAGAUGAAGGAUCUUAAGAAAACUUGUUUAUGCCUUGACCUAAAGUUGAAGCAUUGUUCUGACGAUAUUUUGGUCUACCAGUCGAACUACACCCUGAAUGUGUUACCCUUGAGUAUACCUAUGAUCGUCCAUAUGUUAUAUGCAAAUGAGACCCUUGAAGAGGUUAUGGAAUCCAAAAUUUCAUAUCUAAGUUCAACUUUGUGCUUCAUUGUACUUAGCUUAUUGUAUUUAGCUAGGACAUCUCUUUCGCUAUUGAUCUUGGUAAAGAUGCAGCACCACACCUACACACAACCACUGAAUUGGUAUUAAAGAUGUACCCUGAAGGUACUACAUGGGCAAAUCCCAAAGCAUCUUAGUGGAUCCAACCCCUCUGAUCCUCGAAAUGAUGCUUGCCUUGUUUGUUAUGCUGACGCAUGCUACUUAUCAAACCCGUACAAGGCAAAAUCUUCAAAUGGUUAUGUCUUUACCGUUAGGCAUAUCGCAAUAUCUUGGACGUCCAUGAUAUGACCUUAGUUGCAAAAUCUUCGAAUCUUUCCAAGACUCAUUAUACUUCACUAUGCCACAAGUGAGACAUGGUUAGGAGUUCUUGUUGAGAAUAUUCGAAGUAAUUGCUGUGUUUUCAUCCAUCAUUGAGUCCCAACGACGAUCUAUGAAGAUUAUGCCGUAUGUAUCAACCCGAUCAAGCCAUGAUACAUCAACGAAGUCAACACCAAGACAUAUUGCGUCCACAUCUACAUCAGCAAAGCAUCAAGAGAUUGAAGUCAUGCAAGCCGAUCCCAGACAACCUUGCCGACCUCUACACGACGUCACUGCUGAAAUCAACCUUCCAGAAGCUUGUUCGAGGAAUUGGUAUGCCUAACUAUUCAUAUGCAAUGCUUGUAGUUCUCAUUUGGAAGUUAUGUCAAACUCAGGGGGAGUAUCCAGAAGUAUACUCACUUGAUCUUAAUAUACUAUUUUAACCUACGAUUAGGAGCAUUUUUCCCACUGGAUUUUUGCUACCUAACUAGGUUUUAACAAGGCACCCAUCCUGGGCUGAUCAUACCCUUGUGAGCUAUUCUACUUGCAUCCAAAAGACGUAUAGUUUUGACUUAAUGCAACUUCUCACUUUUCUCCUUAGUCUGUGGGUUUUUCUUUUACCUUGGGUUUUACCAUAACGAGGUUUUGUGAGUUUUACUUUUUAUUCAUUCUUCUGUUGAUUUGAGACCCGCAUUCACUUAUUGUGCUGACGCCUUCAUCAACUGUACUUACUUCAUCACUGAAGACUUGAUGCGCUAUUUACUUUAGUAUUUACACACUCAAAGGGAAGUGUUUCAGUCCUAUUAGAUUAGGAAUGUGAUUGUGUAAAUCCUAGUAUAUCUUGGAAUAUCUCUUAUAUUUCUAUUAGGAGUCUACCUAUUAAAUGUUGUAAUCCUAAAGGGUAAGGAAUUAACCUUCCCUACUACUAUAAAUAGGGUGGAAUAGAACACACCCACAAUUACACAUCUCUCUCUUUCUCUCUAUAUAUGCCGCACUCCUCUCUCUUCGGCCUCCAUAAUUGUUCAGUAAAUUAUGCCUACAACAAAAAAUACGGUACACAGAGCCUUAAAAACGAUAUUGGUGUAUAUAUAUACACACACACACACACACAUUUCAACACCAUAUUAACAAGUUAUAUUUACAUAUUGAUACCAAAUAUUGAUUUCUUAUUAACAUUUAUCAAAUAUUGAUGAUAUCAACGAUAUCCACUGAAUUUGAGCACUUUCAGCGCCACCGAUGUUGACAAACAAGAUCAGAAGUAAAUUUUUAUUGCAUCUCCUACUUUCUAGCAGAAAAAGCAUCAAUCUUUGUUGAAACUUGUAUCUCUCAUGGUAGAACUUUUCUAGAGUAAUGAAUUUGUGACUUUAUGAAGGUAGACGUAUGGAUGAGUCGGUCGUAGGAGAUACAGUACACAAUUUUAGGUCGUGCAAAGGUAAUUUUUUGGGUUAUUAAAUUUAUUUGUAGAACCGCAAACAAAAAAAAUCUUAGUGUUUGAUUUUGGUUUUAAACUUUUGAAUAGUUUUCACUUAGUAUUAUAGUCUAAUCGUAUUCCUUUACUUAUAAGUGAGAGCUCUGAGGUUCGAAUUGUGAAUAGCCAGUUUAAUACCAAUUUAUUCUCUCACUCGGUCUAUCCUUUUAAUGUAAAUAUAACGUUAUGUCAAAGAAUUUUUUGGAUUCUCUCCUCUAUGAGAGCUAUUCCUUCCGUCUGUGGGGGUUUCUCUCUCCAUUUGUGAGAGAAUUUUAACAGCUUCAAUUUCUCACUCCCCCUCCUGUUUCUUCCUCCCCUCUCUUCAACUUCUCCAUCCGAUUGCCGUUUUGAGAGUCGGCAGGUUGGAAUUUUCUUUUUACUUUAUGGAUUCUUUUCACACCUUAGUUCCUAUCUUGCAAUCCUAUCCCUCAACCCCACCCCCUGCAUUUUUCCAUCACCAACCUACGGAUCAGUCAAUUUCAACCACUUUCUUCCGCACCAUCUUCCUUCUUCCUCACCCAAAAAGUAGAUCUUAAAGUUUUGGACUCGAUCUGGAAUUUCGAUUGUUAUACUUUAAGAUUUGAUUCUUGCUGAGGGUGUGCUUGCCAUUUUUGGGUUGAUUUUGUUGUGCCUUGGUCUUUGCCGAUCCACUAUGGAUUUGGUUUCUCCAAGGCAGCUAUUAUGAUGGGUGUUGGCCAGAGACAUUCAGUGUCAUGAUGUUUCUACUUUAUGGGGACUAAGGUUUUUUCAGAUGUUUUUACUUUUGGGCUUACUCCUUUUGAUGUCUUAUUGUUUUCGUUUGCUACUGGUGCCCCUCUUAGUCCUUCUCAUAUUUGUGGAUUUCACGUCUACAGUGGUGGGUUGGAUUGUUCAAGAGUCAUGUUUGACUCAUCCUUUGAUCACUUGAAGAUGAAGCAUAUUGCUAGUUCCGGUUGGAUGCUGCAAUACCAUCUUCUACAAAUCUCCUGUCGAGGAUUCAGUCUCCUAUUUGGUUCACCGGUUUUCGGCGACAACUGUUGCCGGAAUAUUAAAGAAGUUGCUAGGAUUUCUUUGUCUUUUUUUUUCUUCCUGUUAUGGGCUUCAUUUUCUUUUGUUAGACCUCAUUUUCUAUAAACUUACUUUGUUGGUAAUGAAACCCUUGAACAAAAAAAAAAAAAAAAAACACAAAGAAUUUUUUGAAUAGUUAUGGUCAAUUUGAUAUGUGAAAUCGAAUGGGUCCUUUGAUUUAUGCAGAAUUAAAGGUUCCGCCCCGACUGUAUAAUAAAAGAAAGAGUUCAGUGUAAGAAUAUGAGCAUAAGUCUGAAUCUAUGAACUUAGUUAUUGGUAUUGAGAUUGAAUGAGAAGUCUUAUUGGGAAUGGAUUUUGUAAUCCAUAUUACACUGGACUACUAUUUAAGGGAUUAGUUUCCUACAAGGAUUCUAAUAUGGGAAUCUGCUCGAUUACGGACUAAGACCUAUUAUUAGUUAAGAGCAAAACUGAUUACUGGAGAGAGGAGAAGGUGCACUGAAACCUUACAGCGAAACUUGGACAUGGUUGCUUCUUCGAGUUCAUCUGCAAGUAUGAUCUUCUCCAUACAUUAGUUUAAUGAACAUCAGUUUGUGUUUUGAUCACAGUAAUUCAUAUUACUUGUUCUUGGUUUGUGUUUCAUCUAACAUUCAGCCCCUAUAAUGCGUGCAGUCUUCCCCCUCGCACCCAACACUCUCUAGUAAAUGUAGGAAGUAUCUCUCGUGCAGUACGGAUUCAGAAUUUUGUUCAUGUGAAGAUAAAACAAUAGAAUCAACAUAUAUAUAGUUUAUGAAAUGUUAAUGUAUGGUCACUUAUCGUUGAAUUUAAUAUUAAAUAUGAAGAUUAGAUACAUGUGCUUCAAUUGUUUAAAUCUCAUCAUUUGAUAUCAAAUGUAAAGGUGAGUGACAAUUAAUUAUCCAUAUCACCGAUGAUCACGAAUAACAUUCUAAUGGGUAGAUUUGCAGUUAUGGUCUCUUGGCUUACAAGGGCCACUUUGUUAGUAUGCUCUUCGGAUUUCGUCUCAUUAUUUUUACCAACAAAUUGUUCUAACAUUACCCUUUUUUUCAAAUAUAUUUCCUUACCGUUUGGAAAACGAAUUUAUAUAGUAUGUUAAUACCACUACAAGAAAAUUGGGUUAUACUUGUACAUUAGAAGUUCUAGUGUUCCACUUCCACGCCUACUUGGUCAGGAUGUGCCCGAGUGGACUGGGGACAUUUAAUGUGCUUUUUCUUUUACAACAAUAUAUUUUACAUUAAAGGAAUGAGAAGUACGGCUAAAUAACAUAAUGGACAACCUAAUUUAGUAUCGAAUUCGUCAUUUACGAAAUUCAAACCUAAGAUUUAUUCUUUAUAAGUGAAGAAGAAGAUCAUCAGAUCGAGUACUGAGUGGUGGGACUUUUUUAAGUUAAUAAGUCAAUCAAUUGAUUAAUUGGUGAGUUGAAUGUGGGUCAUCCUCUGCUCUUUGGAUCCAAUUCUUGCUACAUUCAACUCGGUAUUACAGUGCAACACGUUGUAAUCUCGUUAAUUAGUUCACAUCCUCCUCUGCAAAGCAAAACAAAAAAUUAAAUUCCCAAGAUAUCCAGUUUGGUACUUCAACUUACACAAACGUCGCGUGUGGGCCUUUGCUGAUCCUUAGUUUCUAGAACCAAAGAGUAAAACACUAGUCGUUCAAAAAAAAAAAAUAGUAAAACACUAAUACUGUUAAUGAAAACCGAACACAUAAUAAAACAAAAAUCCCACCACCAGAAAAUAGGACUUGUCCUACAAAAACUUGCUCGACCAAGAAGAAUUUUGUCGGGUAAAAGCUCUUUACCGGAUAUAUUUUUCUGUUGGUAGGGCAAAGUUAAUCAACAUUUCGAGUUUAUGGAAAUCUUUACGAGACAAAACAAGUUCAAAGACAAGGUUACAUCCGUCGAGCAAGUUCUUAGCGCUAAGAGAAAUAAAAUGGUGCGUAAUACUGGAAGGUUUGUGCGACGACAAACUGGAAUGUCGACUAGGUCAGCUUUAAUCGACUGAUAGUUUUGUCAAUUCAUUGUUUCCCUCCGUUGUGCAAAGGCUUAAUUAGGUCUUAAGGUUUAGGACGACUAACCUUUCCCAACGAACUUCCACCAAACUAGCCCUAAUAUUUGCUUCAAUUAUGAGAACUAGGGAGCAAUAUUCGUGAUAGAAAUCAGAGGAGUGGGUGCAAGAAGAGGGAUGAGCAUGGUAGCCAAUUGUGGGGGUUCGCAUUGGGCAUCUCUAAGAUUUCUAAUGGAAAUAGUAAAACUAGUAGUUGGAAGGGAUAUAAACAUGUUUGCAUAUACUUCGAGAUCUCCUAGGCUAGGAAUCAUCCAAAAAAACAUUCGGGGUUAGAUAAUGGGACGAAAUCAUUUGACGGUUAGAAAAGAAAAAUCACAAUUUGAAGGUCACUUUAACUCUGAUUUUUUUACACAAUCCUUAACCCCGAUGAACGAACCCGUAUCAUCAAAUUAAAAUAUUUAAACUAGUGGAUACAAAAACAACCUACAUUCUACUUAAUGGAAGUAUAGAAUAAACUCUAAGUGUUUUGGAAUCCAUUCUUUUGACGAGACACACAUUCUACAAAACUAGUUUCCACGAUCCAAUGGUCAAACAUGUUUCCAUAUACUUCGAGAUCUCCUACACCAAGAAUCACCUAAAAAAAAGUUUGGAGAUUAGGUAAUGGGACAAAAUCAUUCAACAAUUUGAAAAGAAAAAUCACGAUUUAACGAUCGUUUUAACUUCAAUUUUGUUGAUUUUUUACAAAUGCAAUCCUCCAACCUAGAAAAAUACGAUGAACAAACCCGAUUAUCAAUUUAAAAUCUUUAAACUAGUGGAUAUAAAUCCGACUGUGAAUCACACAAACGUACAAGAACACAAAGAUAUAUCGUGGUUCACCUCAAGUUAAGGUUACAUCCAUACUAGUGUUGAUUCCGUUUCACUAUGUAAAUGAAUGCUAAAUAUACAUAGAGGCCAUAGAGGCAAUGUUUGCUCUCUUUGCUAUUUUGUUUGCUCUCCCAUUUCCCCUCUGUGUGUUUCCCCUCUGUAUGUUUUCAUCUCCUUUUAAGUGAGUGUGAGGGAGCCCUUUUAUAGGAUAAGGGUUUCCUCCCCUCUUACAUAAAUCAUGGGCUAAGUAAUGAAGACCAAAUACUGAGGCCAAAUAUAUAGUAUAACAGGAGUCCCCAAGUCUUCAAUCAAGAGAGUUUUUUGGCUGGAGACUUCAAAUCUAAUCCAUGUACGGGCCGAAGUGACUAGAUGUCAUCCAGAACUAGUACUCGACAUGAGACAGUGCUUAACGUCAAGCAAUACUCAACUAGAGGUAGCACAUGUUGCAAGGUUGCUCAGCUAGAGGCAAUGCUCUCGGAGAGGCGGUUGCUCGGCUGGAGGCGGUGCUCGUUGCAAGGCGCCUCGGCUUGUGGUGUUCUUCAUCGCGAGUAUGCACUCAACAUUAGCGUGAGCUCAUUAUGAGUUAAUUCUCGACAUGACUCAGAUUCGCUUGUUGGGUUUGUAUAUGGGUCUAUGCGUUGGUUAGAGACUUCAAAUCCAAUCCAUGUACGGGCCGAAGUGACUAGAUGUCUUUCAGAACUAGUACUCAACAUGAGACAGUGCUUAACGUCAAGCAAUACUCAGCUAGAGGUAGCAUACAUUGCGAGGCUGCUCGGCUAAAGGCAGUGCUUUCGGCGAGGAGGUUGCUCGGCUGGAAGCGGUACUCGUUGCGAGGCGGCUCGGCUUGUGGCUUUCUUCAUUGUGAGUAUGCACUCGACGUCAGCGUGCGCUCAUUAUGAGUUAACUCUUGACAUGACUCGGGUCUGCUUGUUGGGUCUUUGAAUCGGGGCCAUCCGUAAGGUCCUUGAGUUGGGUCCGUGAGUCGGGGUUCUAGCUCAAUGGUGUCCAAGCACAUAGAUGUCCAAAUAAGCGAGUGUCUGAGCAAGUGGGUGUCCAGUCAGAUAAGAGAUCACUGUUCAGACUAAAUCUUUGUCACUAUAAGCAUGUGGCUCAUUGAUCUAUAAGCUGAUAAAUAACAAAGUUGAUCAACGAAGUCAUGUCAAUAAAUAAUAGUAUAAGCAUGAAUGCAUAAUUAAUAAAUUAAUCACAAAGUUUGGCAAAAGUAUAAUGUCAUACUAUGCAAAUUGUGUGGUAAAUGACUUGUUUCAUAUGUGACACAGUUAAAGGCAUCACAGUAUCACUAGGCAAUGAAUAAAUAUUGCAUAAGUAAUUGCCUAAAUAUGUAGGUCACUAGUGAAAUAUGAUAGAAAGCGUUAUGAGCAUACGUGACUAUUGUAUCAUGUAAUCUUAAUAUAAUGACAAUAGGGAGACACACAAUGUAUUAUAUAAAUAUAUUUUCAUUCAAAUAAUGAGGAUACCUAAUUUGGUCAGACCAUGCCACGAGUUAUGGGAAAUAGUCAUGUGAUAAACCAUUAAUAAUAAUGUAAAACAUAUUAUUCUAACAUGUCAUUCCGUUCAUUUAGGCAAUAAUGCUGGUGUUUCCACUGUUUUUGUCAAAAAACAACUCCUGCUUUUCCAUAUGGUACUUUUCAAAAAGCAGUUUCCCUUUUCAAAAUGAUAAUACUGAUAAGGGUCUCGGGUUGCAAACAUAAUAGUAAUAAAAUAAUGAUAGUAUUUGAUGUGACUGGCAUAAUAAACACACAACAGUAGUGAAAAGCAAAAGUUGGUACUUUUCCAAUGGGGACGCACUAUAUAUGUAUAGAUAUGUGUAUAUAUAUAUAUUGCUAACUGUAAAGGAAAUGUUGUAAAGCAAACGCUAAUCAAAUGCAUGAUGUGGUUUCCUGUUAAAGAAUAUACACACAGAUGUAAAGCAAACGUUGCAGUAACAAGACCAACACAAAAUAAUAAUAAAUUAUUAAAUAAUAAACUAGUUAAUGAAUUAGAAUAAGAUUCAUCUUCUUUGUUUGUUUUCCACUGGUGGUCGUGGUGAGUUUACAGCACCUUCAUCUGGGUUUCGUAGGCCGAUCCACGGUGGUGCGGCACUUUCAUAAAAUACGGCCAAUUCACUGCUGCACUCCAGACCACCAGUCAACCAAAUAACAACAUGAUCCUUCUUGUUGGAGCGAGAUUCGAAGAAGAGGUAAAACAUCUUAGUGGCAUGAGAAUGCUCGAUCUUAUAUUAAUCGGCAUGGUGGCCGAGGUAUUCGAUAGAGACACCGGAGUCUAUGAGGUUGGGGAACCUAUCAGCCUCGACGCAUCUACGAUUGGCGUGGAGCAAGGCAGCGAGGCCUAAGUAUGACUCAGGGUUCCACCAGUAUCUAAGGCAGGAUAUGCUACAACAGGCGCAUAGAAUGCACUCGUACAUCCCAUCUAGCUUCGCCCUAUCCUUCUUGCUCUGCUUUAUCUCCUUCCCAUCCAACUCCGUUGUCGGGCUCUUCCAUUUCAGCCACGGCUCAAUGCUCUUGUACUGGUUGUAGAAGUUCAUCAUAUCCACCAGCAGGUCUUUGAUCAUAAACAUGUACGGCAACGGCAUGAUCAUUGAGGUGCCCGCCUCCGACGAUGCUAUCUUCGUCAGGCAGGCCAAGCCGUUGCAACCGUCGAUGUUCAUGGCGCAGGAGCUGCAGAUCCUUUCCCGGCAAGAUCGCCGAAAGGUGAAGGUGGGGUUCAUCUCGUUCUUAAUCUUGAUGAGGGAUUCGAGCACCAUAGGCCCAUACUCCUUGAGGUCGAUCUUGUACUCCUUGAGCUUCAGCUUUUUCAUGUUGUCCGGGUUCCACCGGUAGAUUGAGAAGGUUUUGAUGUCUGUUUUGCCUCAGGCUUUGAGGUCCACCUGUUGGGCCUGGGCCUCCGACACCAUAGCCCGGACUCAGACGUAACGAAACGACGUGGCCGCUAUCGAUCCCGACGACGCCGCAGAAGCUAUGGCCUUCCGUAUCAACCCCGUCGCCAUUGUUGCAUCUCCGAGCUUGAACAACUAUAGGCAAAGAAAGAAAGAGAGGCGGAAGACAUGGGUUUUGCAGUGACUGUACAGGUGUUUGGUUCUUGGGUUUUUGCAAAUUCACAGUGGAGGUUAUGAGGUUUGAUGAAAAAAUGAAAGAGAAUUGACAUAGCUUUUCGUGACGAUUCCCACAGAUGGCGCCAAAUGUUGAUGAACAAAAUCGGUGAGGACUUUGGUACAACAGAAAGUGUCAAGUUUGUGACCUUCGUUAGAUUGCUCCAAGCACUAGUGUGGAUGAGUAUGUAAAUGGAUAGAGACAGGGAAGCAAACACAAGAUAUACGUGGUUCACCUAGAUUGGCUACGUCCACGGAGUAAAGGAGUUCUCAUUAAUUAUGAAGGGUUUACACAAGUACAUAGGUUCAAGCUCUCCUUUAGUGAGUACUAGUGAAUGAUUUAGUACAAAUGACAUUAGGAAAUAUUGUGGGAGAAUGAUCUCCUUUUAUAGAAGAGAGUUUCUAGCUUUGUUUUGACAUUGACACAUGUCGUGUUGGGAUUGGCUUCUGAUGUUGACACGUGUCACGCUAUGAUUGGCUUCUGAUGUCAACAUGUGUCGCUCUUUGAUUGGCUUUAUGGUUGGAGGGAAACUCUUUUGUGUCCUUGACGGUAUAACGUUAACCGGUGCUCAGUAGUUUCGGGAUUGGUCAAGUAUUGUACAAACAGAAGUAUAGAAUAAAUUCCAAGUGCUUUGUAACCAUUCUUUUGAUGGGAUGCAUUCUACGAUACUAGUUUCCACAAUCCAACCGUCAAACAUGUUUGCAUAUACUUCGAGAUCUCCUACCAUAAGAAUCGCCCAAAAAAAAGUUUGAAGAUUAGGUAAUGGGACAAAAUCAUUCGACGGUUAGAAAUGAAAAAUCAUGAUUUAAUGGUUGUUUUAACUCCGAUUUUGUUGUUUUUUAACAAAUACAAUCCUCAACCUAGAUAAUACGAUAAUGAACCCAAUCAUUAAUUUAAAAUAUUUAAACUAGUGGAUAUAACAAAAGCUUACAUUCUACUUAAGAGAAGUAUAGAAUAAACUCGAAGUGUUUUGCAAUCCAUUCUUUUGACGGGACAUGUAUUCUACGAAACUAGUUUCCACUAUCCAAUAGUCAAACACGUUUGCAUAUACUUUGGGACCUCCUAUGCCAAAAAUACCCAAAAAAGCGUUCGAAGAUAGGUAACGGGACUAAAUCAUUUGAUGAUUAGAAACAAAAAAUUCACGAUUUAACAGUCGUUUUAACUCUUAACUUGGCUAAUUUUUACAAGGCCCCAAAUUGAGGGUAAAAACACACAAAAUUGACAUGGCCAUCAAAUUCGAUGAUUUUUUGACCCGUUUGAACGUAAUGUUCAAAAGACGAAAUACUUGUCUUUGUUGGGUCAACUUUCUAAAUUCUAUCAGCUAGCAGUAAACGUUCGUCGGGCAAAGCGAAAGAAAACCCACACAAAAAUUUUCCAAAAAUUCAAAUUCGCCCUACAACAAAGGUAAAUCGACAAAACCAAAAUUUUAUCAGCCAAACUCUAUGUCGCACCAACUUUUUGACUAAACUAAAGAUUUUAGGUGACCUUGCUUGACAAACUCUUAGGUCAUCUCCAACCGAAGGAGGGUCAGAGGGCUCGUUUAGCUCUAUAACCCUCAAAGAAAUUAAUAUUUUAAUGAACAGUGCCAAACCAUAUUUCUUACCGUGUCCAACUGAGGGGCCAAAGGGCCAUAGGCCAAACAUAGCCCCGUGACAAAAAAAAUCUCCAACCAAGAGGGCCAAGGGACAGUAAGACCAAAUAUAAUUUAUUAUUUUAAUUUAUGAAGAUCCUCCCUGUUAACGGUGGGUCCGAAGUACUAAAAUGAGAGUCUAUUUGUAUCAAAGUUUACUGUCUGUAUUGCCAAACGCGUCCCUCCAAUAAUCCCGUUUCUUCCCUGUCAACCCUCAAAUUUACAAAUUCCAGAUAAACACAAAAAUAAAACAAAAACAAACUAAUCACACACAGAGAGACAAACAAAAAAUUACAAUAUUUUUAUAUACCAAUAAUCUAAACAAAAAUGCUUACAUACAAAAUACACAAAAAAUUACAAUAUUUUUAUAUACCAAUAAUCUACAACCUCAAUUUUACUUUCCUUUUUCUUCUUCUUUUUUCUACUAAAAAUCUGAAAAUUAGAGAUUAAGAAAAUUAAUGAGAAAUAGAAAAAAAAAAAAACAAAAAACAAAAAAACAAAAAAAAGUGAAAUUUCAAAAGGGCACUCGGGCCACGAAUAAUGCGGUUCUUCUUGUUGUCCCUUGCAGCGUUUCCAGCGAGCUCCAACACCUAAACAAAAUUUCACAAGAAAAAAAUCAGAUCAAACCCAUAAAAGUUGGAGAUAUACAAUGCCAAUAAACAUGAAAAUCUUAACCAAUCAAACUCCAGGGAAUCAAAACCCACCAAUAACGAACAAAUGUUGAAUUUCAAAAACUAAUAACACAUUACUAAACCGAUUUGUAUCCAAAAAUCGGAUUAAACCCAGAAAAUUAUACUCAUAAUUAGAUCGACCCAAAUUCUAAAAACAUGAAAUUGCAGAAUUAAAAUCAAACCCAAAACUAAAAACAAUAGAACCCACAUAGAUGAAAAAACAAACUAACCUCAACGGCGAGGUAUUCUAGCACAGCAACAGCGGCUCUCCCGCCGCGUACUCCGUCGCCCGAUCCAAGAUCUUCAGAAUUGUCUUCACCAGCAGCGGCACAAUCAGCCCGUGCGCCGGCCGAUACGGCCCUGUUUCGCGUCUCUUUCACAAGACACAGGUUUUGCUAUACUCGUUGGGGAGAUGCACAUUGUACGGAACGUGUUUGGGAGAUGGAGGAAGUCAACCUGCGGCUAGCUGGCUGGCUUCUUUGGACCAGCCGGUUUGCCUGAUUCCUCUUUUUUUGUCUCGUGGGGCUAUGAGUUUUUUGGCUUAUUUCUUAAUUAGAGAUGAUUUUCGUGUUAUUUCAGAUUAUUUUCGACUUUAUGAUCCUUUGGUCGGAUUCGAGAUAGCCUUAGUUUUUGUCCCACAAAAAUUUAGGAUUUUCAGUACGAAUCAAAAUUUAAAAUUUUUUACCCUCAGACCAUUCUUCUUGCUUGUAACAUCCCACAUCAUCCGGGGGAGUGAUCCUUAAAUGUAUAUUCUCAUCUUUACCUAGCACGAGGCUUUUUGGGAACUCACGAGCAACUUCCCAGUGGGUCACCCAUCCUGGGAGUGCUCUGGCCUCACAUCCCGGCUCGGGACGGAUCACUUCCUGGGCCCGUUCCACCAUCGUAGCACAAUAUUGUCCGUUUUGGGCUUACCAUUUCCUCACGGUUUUGUUUUUAAGAACUCACGAGCAACUUCCCGGUGGGUCACCCAUCCUGGGAGUGCUCUGACCUCCUUCUCACUUAACUUCAGAGUUCCUACGGAACCCAAAGCCAGUGAGCUCCUAAAAAGCCUCGUGCUAGGUAAAGAUGAGAAUAUACAUUUAAGGAUCACUCCCCUGGGCGAUGUGGGAUGUUACAUUUCUUCCUCCUCGUGCCGUGCAACACUCAAAGCCUCUCUGCUAUCACUCCCUCUCUGUCCUCUCUCUUUCUGAACUCCUCUGUCUGUCUCUCUCCCUCUCUCAAAUCCUCCCCUCUCUCUGUCUCCCAUUUCUCAACUAUAAGUCUGUUUCUCUCUCCCUAUUUUUAUUUUAUUUAGAGAGAUUAUAUUCAAACACUCCAAAUUAUUUUUCCCACACCUUUUUGAAUUUUUUAAUAUUUUUCUACCAAGUGUUAGUAGGGUUUAAAAUAUCAAAAAAUAUAAAAAUAAAAAAUAAGAAGGUUAGGGAAGUAAUUUGGGGUGUGAAUAUAAUCUCUCUUCUAUAUUAUUUUUAAUUUGAAAUUGUUAGGAUUUGAUUAUUCUAUGAUUAGUGAUGCGAAAAUUAUCUUAACACACAAAUUUAAACCUCUUUUGACAAUUGUAGUAUAAGUAUAAGUAUGGAUCGUUCUGGACCGGGGAUUAGGAGGGUUUGCUAAUAACCUCUAAACUGACUCAAAAACGUAAAACUAAACUUAAAAAUAUUUAACAAGACUCACAAGACUUAAAGCAAACUUUAAAAUACUCAAAACAGCUUAAAACAACUAAAUAAACUUAAACUAGACACUAGAAAUGACUUUGGACGAAAAUUGACUUUUACUUGAAUCAAAACAUUUAAAAACACAAAUUAAAACAGAUUCUAACUAAUUAGACACACUAAAGUAAAGGGGGAUUGAGUUUUGGACGAAGUUGAAACAAACAAACAAAUACGAAAAACUAGACAGAUUGUAAAACAAAUUUGAGAAAUAAGAUGAUGGAUGAGAUAGCUAGAGGCUUUUUCUCCACACAUGACAUAUAUGCAAAUAACUUAAUUUCCAGUCACUACUUCAUGGAAUUAUGAACAACAAUGCUCCAAAUUAACCGUGACAUCACUAGUUAACUCUCAGAUUUUCCUUGUUUUAUUGGAUUGGAUGACAUCAUUCGACAACCCAAAACAUUCUUCUAAAGUUCCCUACAUGACAUCAUAAUAGAGAUACAAUCAAAGAUCAUUACGUUUAAUGAAAAUCAUAAGCAUUGACAAAGCACUUGCAACUAUGACAUCAUGUCACUCAUGCUAGGAAUUGAAAUUAACGCGAUCGUUUAUAAGCGACCUUCACUACAUGUGAAUAUAAGUUUGUAACGAUUAUGUGAAACUUCCUUAUAUUCUAGCAACGGAUUUAUGCAUGCCAAUUAAGUGUCGACCCUUAAUUAACAAAUACAAAUAAGUUAUCAAUUAAAUAGUUAAGCCAAAUUGCAAUUCACGAACUUCAAGAGUUCAUAACUAGAAUUUAUCAAAUUAUAUUGCACACAUAAUCAUGGCUUUGAAUUCCCCCUAGCUAAGGGGGGUUUAGUUCCUCAUACUUACAAAGCAAAGAUAAACAAAUUUAGACAUUGAAAACAAAAGAAAGAAAACACCUAAAAACGCUCCAACAAUCCAAUUUGAAUGGCAAGCACGUCCAAGGGUCCUCCUUCUUCUCUUUGUUGCGGCACAAGGUGUGGUUUGAUGGAUGAGUGGUAAAAUAUGGUGGUGGAUGGAUAUGCACAGCUAAGAGAUGAAAGUGUAUGGAUUGGUGAGAUGUAGUAUGGCUAGAUGAAUGGAUGGAGGUCACAGCAAGGAAAUUGUGUUUGUGAAUGAAGUUGUGAGAUGUGAAAUGUAGUGUCUUUGGAUGAUGGCCCCUUGAAUGUGUCUUUGGAUGGAUAUAUUUAUAGGCUAGGGAGAGGAUGUAGUGGGUGGUGGUAAUGAGUGGAUGUAGUGGUAGGUGAAUGUGUUGGGUGGUUGAAAUGAGUGGAUGUGUUAGGUGAAAUGAGUGGAUGUAGUGGUAGGUGAAUGGAUGUGUGGUUGUAAUGAGUGGAUGUGUUGGGUGAAAUGAGUGGAUGUAGUGGUAGGUGAAUGUGUUGGGUGGUUGUAAUGAGUGGAUGUGUUGGGUGAAAUGAGUGGAUGUGUUAGGUGAAAUGAGUGGAUGUAGUGGUAGGUGAAUGGAUGAUUUGGGUGAAAUGAGUGGAUGUAGUGGUUGGUGAAUGUGUUGGGUGGUUAUAAUGAGUGGAUGUGUUGGGUGAAAUGAGUGUCCUAAAAUGGUUAUUUAUAGGGAGAGGAUGAUGCACAAACUUCAAAUUUCAUCCAUUCCUUUUGCUCCAAGCAUAUGUUAUCCAUUUCAUGCCAAAAAAUGCUCCAAAAUGCACUUCUUUGCCACAUUAAUCCUUUGGACCUGCAAACACACGAAAAUAGCUUAAAAUACUAAAAUAACUACGAACUAACAACAUAAAUGCCAAGAAACAAGCUAACUAAGUCGCAUAAAUAUGCUCCUAUCAAAUUCCCCCACACUUAGCUUUUGCUAGUCCUCGAGCAAAACAAAACAAACAAAACAAAACAAAACAAAACACAACCUAGACCUUCCAACAAUUGCCUCAGGGAUUUUUAAUGAAACAUGACAUGUUAAAAAUCAUCAUUCCCACAGAUUUUGGUCAUCCUUACACUUGAGCACAUACUUAAUCACAGUCACCACUUACUAGUUCACAAUUAACCAAUUAAAACAAUGUUUUGAAUGUAGUAACAUGCCUUAGAGAAUUUGCUCAAUUCCUUACAAGAUACUCUCUAUUUUCACACACAUUUUCUGACUACACACCCUACACUAGUAUAUGUGAUGUGAGAAGAUUGAUAAACACGAAAAUUAGGACUCACAUAUGUUAUAACAAAGAAAGCAAUUUUCUGGAGUUAUUAAGCAUGUUUAGAUAUGAUCUCAUGAAUGGAAUGCUACUACUUAGAUGCGAGAACCAGUGACACCAUAUGCUCAUACCAAUUUCGAACUCCACAAAUUGAAACACACAACACUCAAGAUUGAAGUCAAGGGUUGUAAUAGGGCUUGGGGGUAAUGGCUAAUAAAGAAAGGAUAGGAAUAACAAACGUUCUUAAAGCGAUAGCAAGCAAAGCAAUGAAAUAGACACUUGGAAUUCACUUUAGAAUGCAGAAUCAACUUUUAAAUACAAAGGGAAGAUUCAUGCAACACUUAGGGCCGAAUUCAAUGUUUUGGACCAUUUUUUAACAAACUUUUUUUUUUCCUUUCUUUUCUACCCGUGCCUUAUUAAGGACUUUGGCACACACACACACACACAAGAAUCACUUCCCCCACACUUGCUUUCUGCAAUGCAUUGAUUAAAAAAUAAAAAAAAAAAAAGAGUUCAUUUUAAGUCAUGCUUUACUAUGCUUCAAGAACAAGGGUAUGGAUGGUCCUAAAACUAGGCUAGGUAAGGAUAUAAUGGAUUAACAAAGAACAUAGGCUUAACAAGGCUCAACGGGGUUAAACUUAAAUACAUAAUGAAAUAGGGGCACGACAAUUUGGCUUUGGUGGUCACUACACAACUUCAUCUUGAAUAUGUGUUAUGCAAAUCAAUAGCAUGCUUUGAAUGAAAUAGGCAUGAGUUCUAGCAUUUGGAACUAACUGAUGAAACGCCUUCUAAGUAGCAACCAAGCAAAGAGUAAUGAGAUCAUGCAACGACUUUAGGAAACAAUGAUGCACAUAUUAUUAACUCUCCAAAUAAACGUUUAGGCUCAAGUCUCACAAGGUUGUAGCGUUCAUUUGAGUUCCUUCCUUCAAGCAUGUUACAAAAACUGAUUUUUCCUUUAUGAUUGCAUGUGAAUUCAUAAAUUAUAACCACAACCAAGCAUACACCAAAGAGUAAAUCAAAUUUUCAUCCAUGUUUAUAACUCUCUUUAACAGUCAUGUAAUUAAAAACCAAAUCCUCAUCAUUGUGUUGGAAGGUACCCUAAGACACAAAUAAACACACAAAAACAACUCUUUUUGGGUUUUUCAAAACAAUUUUUCAAAUUUUUAUGAGAUUUUUGGAUUUUUAUGUCAAAACACACUAAAACACUCCAAAACAGCUUAAAAAACACUUAAAAAAAAAACAGCAAGGAACAACACUAGAAGUAAUGGGUGAUAAACUCCUACGAAUUUCAUGCAAAACAAUUGGUUACCCCCCCCCCCACACUUAAAUCAAACAUUGUCCUCAAUGUUUCAAGCAUAAACUCACACAAAAACAAGCAAACAAACAAACAACGAAUAAACAUGACAAGUAUAGGCAAAGUAAAAACCAGACAGAGUAGAGUUUAAGAACGCAAAUCUGGUUUUGGAGAUAGAUGAUCUUGUUGACUUUCCACAGCUUUGAUCUCGAACUGGUUUGGAAUUCUGAGCGAGGAAUAUUAGAGUUCCUUGGUUGUGCAGUCUGCAUUCUUCUCUGCUUGUUUCUUCUGCACGGCAGGCAGGCACGAGGUAGAGGUGAUGGUCUGUUUCUUUCUUCAAUCUUUCCAAGUGCCCACCUCUUGCUUUCUUUCUCCUUGUCCCUAGCUGAGGAUGAAUUGGCAAAUUGUCUCCACAUGCUUCGAGGUAUCAUUUUCACUUCCCUUAUCUGUUCCCCAGGCAGAUGUGGUAGACGAAGAGGAAGCAUAAAAUGAUGAAGAUGAGUACUCGAGAGCAAGGCUAGGUAAGCAAUCAGGAAGGGGUUCCAGGCAGUCGGUUCCAGAUCGGAAGAUUGAUACCAAGUGCUGGCUGAUUGCUCUCUUUCUCCUUGUCCUAAAACAACGACAAGGAGAAGGACAGGGAGAAAGCAUGAUAUGAGAUACUCUUGCUUUCAACCUUCAUGAUAUGAAAUACUUUUGCUUUGGAUGAGUUGUUUGCAGAGGUACCCCAAGGAAUAAGGAACACUGAGUGACUCGAGAGGCUUUGUUGGGAAAGGCAUUCUCGGAGAAGAAGGGUUAUGUAUGUCUGCCUUGCAAUGGAAGGGUGAAGGUGACAUUUAUAGGAAUUAAUAACCGGUACUAUUCUUUCACUCUUGUCGGCAACCGUUGGAUGAUUUAAUAGUAAACUUCACGUGCUUUCUACUUCACCAAGAAAUCUUCGACAGAUUGCCCGUAAUUUUCGCGCAAGGCUGAGUGUGCAUGUGACAGGCGCUGACACGUCUGGAAAAGCAUAUGCUUUUCCGAUAUCUGGAAUCGGCGCUUCGACAAACUGCCCGUGAUUUCUGCAAAGCUGACUCUGCAUGUGACAGAUGCUGACACGUCUGGAAAAACAAAUGCCUCUUCGAUAUCUGGAAUCGGCGCUUCGACAAACUGCCCGUGAUUUCUGCAAAGCUGACUCUGCACGUGACAGAUGCUGACAUGUCUGGAAAAGCAGAUGCCUCUUCGAUUUUUGAGCUUGCCUCUUCGAUCUCUGAAAUCCCGUCGAGUGCAGAGGUUGCAUGUGACAAGUGCGGACAAAUCUGGAAAAGAAGAUUGGCCGUGGUUUCUGAGCAAGCCCAGCUUUUGAGAAAGCUAUCGCCUCUUUAAUUUUUGAGUUGGCCUCUUUGAUCUCUGAAAUCCCAUCGUGUGCUGAUUUUUAUAGAGGUACGCAGGACGUUCAAAGCACACUUGAAUUUCUGCCUGUAAAAACUCCUUUUUGCACUUCUACGAUCUUAACUUGUCCGACCUCUUUUUUCUUUAACACCUCUAAAAAUGUCUGGCCCCUCUGACCGUCGUUUUGACUUGAACCUUGGUGAAGAGGCAGCCCCGCCUUCUCCAGACAACAUAUGGCGCCCAUCCUUCAUAUCCCCUACUGGUCCCUUUACCGUUGGGGAUUCGGUGAUGAAGAAUGAUAUGACAGCUGCGGUGGUGGCCAGGAACCUUGUCACUCCCAAAGAUAACAGACUACUUGCCAAACGGUCUGAUGAGUUGGCUGUUAAGGAUUCUCUGGCUCUCAGUGUGCAGUGCGCAGGUUCCGUGUCUAAUAUGGCCCAACGCCUAUUUGCCCGAACCCGUCAAGUUGAAUCAUUGGCGGCUGAAGUGAUGAGUCUCAAACAGGAGAUUAGAGGGCUCAAGCAUGAGAAUAAACAGUUGCACAAGCUCGCACAUAACUAUGCUACAAACAUGAAGAGGAAGAUUGACCAGAUGCAGGAAUCUGAUGGUCAGAUUUUACUUGAUCAUCAGAGGUUUGUGGGUUUGUUCCAACAGCAUUUGCCUUCGUCUUCUGGGGCUGUACCGCGUAAUGAAGCUCCAAAUGAUCAACCUCUGAUGCCUCCUCCUUCUGGGGCUCCACCGACUGCUGAGGCUCUUCCGACUACUGAGACUUCUCCUAAGCAGCCUUUGUGAAGGCUUCCUCUUGUAUUUUUUGCUUAAUGUUCCUUUCUUUUUUAUGAAAAUGAAUGUAAAAAUACCUUGCAUAACUGUCAGUGUUUCAAAAAUAAACCCACACCAAAAACAAGCAACAAAAAAUGAUAAUCAUGGCAAAAUAAAACUACAGAAAAGGGAAGGUUUUUAGGAAUGCAAAACCAAUCGUGGAGCAAUUCAAAAAUCUUUCUUAUUUGAGUACAUGGGUUGCCUCCCAAAAAGCGUUUGCUUUAACAUCUUCCAGCCGGACGAUACCUCCAUUUAAGCUUGAAUAGGGCCCACGGCAUGGAAGGGUAUGUCCUCUAUGGCAUGUUCCUCAAAAUACUCAUACAUUGGCUCUAUGAAUGGAAGGGGAUAGUAAUCCUUCCUGAUUGGGGCGUUGAGCAUCCUUAAGUCAAUGUAAUCAUUCCCACCAGCUUGGAUUCGAUUGGGGACCUGCACCAUACAAGGUAACAACCUAUUAGUUGAAAUGAGAAUCGAAAUUGGAAUAGGUGGUUUACCAAUGUGUUGCAAUGAACUGGCAACACUGUCAACAGAUUUUCCAAAUGUUCUUUCAGCCAGAUUAUGCAUUUGAAGGUUAAUGGUGUGUUCUUUGUGCUCCACUCCAAUUUUCUUUUCAUUGGUGGUUGGAAAUUCAUCCUUCUUGGUUGGUGAUGAAGGUUCUUGUCCUAUGUUUUCAACUACAUUAAUGGAAAAACAAGAAUAAACAUCAGUAAGAUUCACAUUAGAUUCAGGAAUUUUAAAGUGAAUCAUUGUAGACAUCGAAAUUUCGGUAAAUAAAUGUUGACCGAUAAAUCAAAGUUUCAACGCUCAUGUAUUACAUAAAUUUUACACGUAGCGUGUGUCUAAACAAAAAAUCGAAAUAAGUUGGAAAAGUCAUCAAACAGGACACGUGUCAACACCUGGCAGAAACGACUUAUUUCAUCUAAAAUAUUAUAUUCAAAAUUAGGCCUUGGAAAUUUCUAUAAAUAGAAGGCUAAUUCAUUCAUUUAGGGGAACCAAAAUCAUUAGGCAAAAUUCUUGAAGCUCUGAAGCUCUGAAACUCCGAAGCUCUUAAGCAUCCAGGUUCCCAAAGAAUCAAGAAAGCCUUCUUCGUUCUUCGUUCAUCGUUAUUCCAAGAUCAAGCCCCAAUGGCCCUUUGGAUCAACAAUCAUCCACCAAUUCAAGAUCAAGCCCCUACGGCCCUUGAAGAAAGUGUUCUUCAUUCUUCGUUCAUCGUUCAUCCUAAGAUCAAGCCCAAAUGGCCCUUUGGAUCAACAAACAUCCACCAAUUCAAGAUCAAGCCCCGACGGCCCUUGAAAAAAGUGUUCUUCGUUCUUAGUUCAUCGUUCUUCCAAGAUCAAGCCCCAACGGCCCUUUGGAUCAACAAUCAUCCACCAAUUCAAGAUCAAGCCCCGACGGCCCUUGAAGAAAGUGUUCUUCGUUCUUCGUUCAUCGUUCUUCCAAGAUCAAGCCCCAACGGCCCUUGGAUCAACAAGCCACCGUUCUUCAAGAUCAAGCCCAAAAGGCCCUUGAAGAUCCGUUCAUCACUGUUCUUCUUCAAGAUCAAGCCCAAAAGCCCUUAAAGAUCCGUUCAUCACUGUUCUUCAAGAUUAAAGCUCAAAAGCCCUUGAAAAUCCGCUCAUCACCGUUAUUCAAGAUCAAGCCUUAACGUCCCUUGAAGAAACACUCAUCCUCAAGAUCAAGCCCCGACGGCUCCUUGAAGAUUCGCUCAAAUCCACCUUCAAAGAUCGAGCCCACGGCCCCUUGAAGAAACUUCCAACAGUUCAUCCAAGAUCAAGCCUCGACGGCCCUUGGAUCAACGAAACAUCCACAAAUCAACACCUUACGGAGAUCGAAUCAGAAGAUCAAAGUUAAAAGAGAUCGUAACCCUACAAAUCCAUUAACACCAAAAUAUUUGUUUGUGCACGUUGUUCUUGUCUCUUUCGUUUCAGGAAUUUUCUGUGUUCACAAUCAUAUCACCACCAAAUGCCAUUGUUAAUGCUCAUUUGGCCACAUCAAUCUUAGUUUGAGUUGUUUUCAUGAAAGGUCGUCUAAGUAAUAUUGAUGGUGGUGAAGAGUGGGCUGCAUCCUCCAUGUCAAGUACAUAGAAAUCUGCAGGAAAAAUCAAAUGGUCUACCUACACCAAAACAUCAUCCAAAACUCCUUUCGGGUAGACAUUAGAUCGAUUGGCUAGUUAAAUAACAACACCAUCAUGUUUAAGCUCUCCUAGAUUCAUAGAUGCAUAAACAGAAUAUGGCAUGACAUUAAUUGAUGCACCUAGAUCUAGCAUAGCAUGUUCAAACCUCGUAUUUCCAAUAACACAAGGGAUAGUGAAACUACCUGGAUCUUUGCAUUUGGGUGGCAGCUUCCUUUGCAACAUUGCAGAGACAUUCUCAUUCAGAUGUACCACCUCUUUCUCUCGAAUCCGGUUCCUUGUUGUGCAAAGCUUCUUUAAAAACUUAGCGUACUUCGGGAUUUGUUUGAUGGCAUCUAAAAGUGGAAUAUUGACUUGUACUUUUUUGAAUGUUUCAAGGAUGUCUUUUUCACUUUCUUCAUUCUGUGUUUGCAUGAAUCUGCGAGGGAAAGUCGCGUUUGGUGGAAUAACGUUAGAAUUAACCGAAUUGGAACCUUUCUUACCUGUGGUGGACAGAUUGGAUGGAUUAGUGAGUGUAGGAGUGCACGACAAGGUUGUUUCCUUCCUUGUCGUGGGUGUGUGUUGGACAUCCUCCUCUUGUUGCAGCUUCUCGUCCUCUGUUUGGGCAGAUUUUGAUGGUUGGGGGUCCGUUCCAACUUCUUUUCCACUUUUUAAGGUAAUGGCCUUUACAGAUUCAAAGCCUCCCUUUGGAUUCACAUCCGUCGUACUAGGUAACUUACCUGGCUCUCUACUAAAUUGGCCCAUGAACUCAGCCAUUUGUCCCAUCUGUCUCUUCAAUUCAGUCACCUUUCGAGCUUGAUUUUGCACUUCCUUGGCAUAAUUGUGCAUAUCUUUGGCUUGAUUUUCCUGACCCUUCGCCAACGUAGUUAAUAACUGAAUAACUUGAGCAUUAUCAAAAGACGAACCUGAGUUAUUUUGGGCAGGUUGUGUUUGGGGUUGUGCGGGUGCAUACGGCCUUUGAUAGAUUCCCAGAGGUUGCUGUCUGAAUGCACUUUGUUGUUGGGUUUGUUGGGGCUCCCUCCAUUUGAAAUUUGGAUGAUCUCUCCAACUUGGAUUGUAUGUAUUCAGAACGGAUCAUUCCUUGGUUGGUUUUGACUCCCAAAACCCACGGCGUUGGCAGAUUCCCACUCUCCGUUCUCGAUCAAUUGAGGGCACUUAUCUGUGAGAUGUCCAUUCAUUGAGGACACGCCACAAGCAGCUACACUUUGUUCUUUUGGUUUUUCAACCACCUGUGAAAGAAGAGUAGUAAGAUUAGCCAUUUGAUUUUGAAUUUCGGAAAUAGCACUUACCUCAUUAACUUGUUGCUGCCGUGGGUUGUCUCUUUGACCAACGCCUUCAUAUUGUUGAGCAUUCAAUGCUCGAUUAGCAAUUAAGGUCUUGGCAGCCAUAGGUGUUUUGUCCACCAAUGCUCCUCCCACUGAGGCGUCCAACAUUUGGCGUUCAAUUGGUAGAAGCCCUUCGUAGAAAUAUUGAAUAAGAAGUUCCUCAUUCAUCUGGUACUGUGGACAUGAAGCAACAAGGGUUUUAAAACACUCAUAGUAAGUGGGAAAAGAUUCACCUUGGUUUUGCUGAAUGCCACUAUUCCUUUUGCGUAGUAGAAUGACUCGAGAAGUUGGGAAAAACUUCUCCAAAAAUGUCCAUUUCAUACUCUCCCAUGAUGUGACAGUUCCGGGGGCUAGCUCAUACAACCAAUCUUUAGCUUUUUCCAAGAGAGAAAAGGGAAAAGCCUUCAUUUUCAGAAUGCUCCCAUCAACAUUCACAGGGGUCAUGCUCGAACAAACAAUCUCGAACUCCUUCAAAUGUUUAUUAGGAUCUUCCAUGGACAACCUAUGGAAUUUAGGAAUAUGGUGCAAUAAGCUAGACUUUAAUUCGAACUCGUCGGUCUUGUUUUGGGCCGCCCUUGGAUAUUGAAUGCAGAAAGGCAGAGCAUUGUCCAAUCCUGAACCGGAAAACUCCUUGAUUGUUCGAUUGUCUACUGCCAUAUCUUGGACUUCUUCAAAAGUCCUUGCCGUGGCCUCCUCUUGCUCUUCUACUUUGUCUUCUUCAGGAUCUGGUGCAGGUUGAGAUGAUUGGGGCUCUUGUUGAUUCCUUACUCGUCUCAAAGUUUGUUCAAAAUCGUCGUCAAAGUCAAAGAUGUGCUUAUGAACAGGUUGAGAACUUCGAGUCAUAAACCACCUAAAACAAGAAAACAAGUAAAAUCAGCAACUAGGAACAAAAACACAUGAAAAUAAACAAAAAGAAAUGAUAAGGGAUUAGCAAAGUUGCUAAUCCCCAGCAACGGCGCCAAAAACUUGAUGCGAAAAUUAUCUUAACACACAAAUUUAACUCUCUUUUGACAACUGUAGUAUAAGUAUAAGUAGGGAUCGUUCUAGACCGGGGAUUAGGAGGGCUUGCUAAUAACCUCUAAACUGACUCAAAAACAUAAAACUAAACUUAAAAAUACUUAACAAGACUCACAAGACUUAAAGCAAACUUUAAAAUACUCAAAACAGCUUAAAACAACUAAAUAAACUUAAACUAGACACUAGAAAUGACUUUGGACAAAAAUUGACUUUUACUUGAAUCAAAACAUUUAAAACACAAAUUAAAACAGAUUCUAACUAAUUAGACACUCUAAAGUAAAGGGGGAUUGAGUUUUGGACGAAGUUGAAACAAACAAACAACUACGAAAAACUAGACAGUUUAAAAUACUCAAAACAGCUUAAAACAACUAAAUAAACUUAAACUAGACACUAGAAAUGACGUUGGACGAAAAUUGACUUUUACUUGAAUCAAAACAUUUAAAAACACAAAUUAAAACAGAUUCUAACUAAUUAGACACACUAAAGUAAAGGGGGAUUGAGUUUUUGACGAAGUUGAAACAAACAAACAAGUACGAAAAACUAGACAGAUUGUAAAACAAAUUUGAGAAAUAAGAUGAUGGAUGGGAUAGCUAGAGGCUUUUUCUCCACACAUGACAUGUAUGCAAAUAACUCGAUUUCCAGUUACUACUUCAUUGAAUUAUGAACGACAAUGCUCCAAAUUAACCAUGACAUCACUAGUUAACUCUCAGAUUUUCCUUGUUUUAUUGGAUUGGAUGACAUCAUUCGACAACCCAAAACAUUCUUCUAAAGUUCCCUACAUGACAUCAUAAUAGAGAUACAAUAAAAGAUCAUUACAUUUAAUGAAAAUCAUAAGCAUUGACAAAGCACUUGCAACUAUGACAUCAUGUCACUCAUGCUAGGAAUUGAAAUUAACGCGAUCAUUUAUAAGCGACCUUCACUACAUGUGAAUAUAAGUUUGUAACGAUUAUGUGAAACUUCCUUAUAUUCUAGCAACAUAUUUAUGCAUGCCAAUUAAGUGUCGACCCUUAAUUAACAAAUACAAAUAAGUUAUCAAUUAAAUAGUUAAGCCAAUUGCAUUCACGAUUCAAGAGUUCAUAACUGGAAUUUAUCAAAUUAUAUUGCACACAUAAUCAUGGCUUUGAAUUCCCCCUGGCUAAAGGGGGUUUAGUUCUGUUGGAAGUAUGCCCACAAAGCCACUCAUUUGAUGUAAUAGCUUUUGGAAUACUUAUUGUAUUAAACUUUUAUAUGUUUAAUGAAGGGCAAAGCUUGUUGUUAAUCACUAUUUAUUGUAUCAUGUGUUUAAGCCAUAAGAGAAUCCAAGGGAUGUAUUUGAUCUAAGAGACAAGUGAUUUAAGUAAGUUAGAUUAACGAGACCUUUCUCUUAUGUUCAUUCCUAAAACGUUCCUAGCCAUAGGAUUGCCAAUUGGGCAUUGACAAUUCGCUAAGGUUAGUAUGCGUUAUGUCGACUCAAGCGUGAGUAUGACUAGUCUCAAGUCAAUUAGUGUUGGACACUAAGACAAACACAUAGGUGCUCGAAAGAGUAAUCGAGUACACUGAAUCACGAUCAAAAGAGAGUUCGAACAUACAUGUCAUGUAAGAACUCGAUAGUUGCAAUAUGCAAAGUAGUCAUUUGACCUGAGGCAUCAUAGAUGUCUAAUGGUUAGGUCCUUGACCUUUGAUCAUGUCAAAGGCAUUCCAUUGGAGUGUCCACGGCAUUGUUGGGGUCAAGCUAUCUAGUCAUGUAGGCAUAUGAAUGCACAACAAGGGAUCUCUAACCUUCCAUGGUGGAAGGAGAAUACUCUAAGAUAUGAUUCGAAAGUCUUUGGCCAAAGCAUAUGAAUAUGACUUAGGAAGUUUGUUCCAAAUCAUAUUCAAUUGAAUCAUAUAGAGAAGUAUCACAUUGGAUAGUAGACAUGAAACAAACUAUCACUUAAACAAUGUGAUUAAGAGUAUUGUAUUAGAGAAGGACCGUAUUGCAUUGUAGUUGUAACUGGAUAGGUUCUCCAACCAAUUCUACUUAGCUUGGGUAACCAUGACAUGCUGCUAGGUGUCAUUCAUGGUUUGUGGAAGCCCUGAUGAUUAGCAAACACUAAUUUUAAGGGAGAAUUGAAAUGUGGUUUCAAUUCACAAUCGAUCGUUAAGAGUAACAAUCGCCCACUACCUCGCUAAAUGGAACCUAAUGGAUCGUACACAGAGUAAGGAUGAAAGUGAAGAAAUUAAAUGAAAUGGAUAUGCAAUUAAAUGGUUUAAUUGAAGAAUGGUCAAGAUUAAUUAAUUAGUUAAUUAAUUUUACGAAAGGUUCGUAUUGGGCUUUUAAGUUGGUUUUGGGUUUCGGGGCCCAAAAGUGUUUUGGUCCACAAGGCCCAUUAUGUUUAAGUUGUAUGACAACUAAAACAAAAUGGGCAAUAAGCCCAAUCACAACAAAUAGGCCGGCCAUGGUGAGGAGAGGGUGAAGGUUUGCUUAAUUGCAAGUUUGCCACUCACCUAAGAAAAGUGUUAUAAAAGCAACUUUAUAGCUAUUUUUCUCAUAAGGGUUUUUCUUGUAGAAAAGAGGUGAAACCUAUUCUCUCUUUUUCAACAAGGAGGCUGGCCACUUAGAGGAGAUUUAUCUAGCAAUCUUUUCUUCUCUAAGUCAUCCAUUUCAUCUUCACACUACAUCUUUGGUGUGGAGACUUAGAGACAUCAAGCUUUUGGUAUUUUGGAGAUUCUAUCCUCAAAUCCUUAAAGGAAGAUCCAAGGAGCAAGGAGGUGACUUGAAGGCCCUCCACUUGGGUGAAUCCCUUGUGUAAUCAAGGAUGAGCUUCAAGGGUAAAGAAUCUCUAAAUCUUUUCUUCUCUUUAAGUUUGUUAAAGAGUUUAUUGGUUCACCAUAUACUAGGCUUUGAAAGUCAUGGGUUUUAUGAAUUGUUUUUGAAUGCAUGCCUACUUUAAUGUGUUAAUAGUUUACAUAUGUAUUCAAAUGUUCUUACUUGUUCUUAGCUAGGACAAAAAUUUUCCUUCAAGUUCCUCAUACUUACAAAGCAUAGAUAAACAAAUUUAGACAUUGAAAACAAAAGCAAGAAAACACCUAAAAACGCUCCAACAAUCCAAUUUGAAUGGCAAGCACGUCCAAGGGUCCUCCUUCUUCUCUUUGUUGCGGCACAAUGUGUGGUUUGAUAGAUGAGUGGUAAAUUAUGGUGGUGGAUGGAUAUGCACAGCUAAGAGAUGAAAGUGUAUGGAUUGGUGAGAUGUAGUAUGGCUAGAUGAAUGGAUGGAGGUCACGGCAAGGAAAUUGUGUUUGUGAAUGAAGUUGUGAGAUGUGAAAUGUAGUGUCUUUAGAUGAUGGCCCCCUGAAUGUGUCUUUGGAUGGAUAUAUUUAUAGGUUAGGGAGAGGAUGUAGUGGGUGGUGGUAAUGAGUGGAUGUAGUGGUAGGUGAAUGUGUUGGGUGGUUGAAAUGAGUGGAUGUGUUAGGUGAAAUGAGUAGAUGUAGUGGUAGGUGAACGGAUGUGUGGUUGUAAUGAGUGGAUGUGUUGGGUGAAAUGAGUGGAUGUAGUGGUAGGUGAAUGUGUUGGGUGGUUGUAAUGAGUGGAUGUGUUGGGUGAAAUGAGUGGAUGUGUUAGGUGAAAUGAGUGGAUGUAGUGGUAGGUGAAUGGAUGUGUUGGGUGAAAUGAGUGGAUGUAGUGGUUGGUGAAUGUGUUGUGUGGUUGUAAUGAGUGGAUGUGUUGGGUGAAAUGAGUGUCCUAAAAUGGUUAUUUAUAGGGAGAGGAUGAUGCACAAACUUCAAAUUUCGUCCAUUCCUUUUGCUCCAAGCAUAUGUUAUCCAUUCCAUGCCCAAAAAUGCUCCAAAAUGCUCCAAAAUGCACUUCUUUGCCACAUUAAUCCUUUGGACCUACAAACACACGAAAAUAGCUUAAAAUACUAAAAUAACUACGAACUAACAACAUAAAUGCCAAGAAACAAGCUAACUAAGUCGCAUAAAUAUGCUCCUAUCAAUUAGUGGAUUGAUUAUAUUACGAUUUGAUUUCAAAUUGUGAUUGAUUAUGGUGUGAUUUGACUUGGAAAUACGUUGUGAUAUGUGGGUGGGGUGAGUACAGUGGUGGUGGGCUGGGUAUGGUGGUGGUAGGGUGGGAGUAGGAGGUAGUGAGGUGUAUAGUGGUGGUAGGGUGGGUGUAGUGGUGGUGGUAGGGUGGAUACAAUGGUGGUGGGAAAUUGAUUAAAUUUGAGAAAUUUGUAGGAAAUGUUUACAUUUUAGAAACAUUUGAAUUAUUAUAGGAAAUUUUUGGAAAUUUGUGAAAUUUGUAGGAAAUGUUUGAAGUUUAGUAAAAUUUUAGAAAUAUGAGAAAUAGUAGGAAAUUUUAGAAAUCAUGAUUUUUUUUCAUAGAUGUCUUCAUGCCUGAUCAUUAUUGGCAGCUCUACCUUCGCCUCUACUUAGAGUGAGGGGUUGACCCCAAACGCCACUUAGUAGACCAGCAAGAUCUAAACAGCCACUACCAAGUCGGCCUCCGGUGUGAGUAGUUAUGCGCCAUUAACCUAGAUGGCAUGAUUUGCCAAGCGGCCUCAUAGUCGCAAACGCCACAAGCAUGUGGCAGCCCCUGGUAUAGCCUCAUCAUACCCGUCUCAAGGUAGUCCUAGCGCAGAGAACGAUUUAGCGGCCGUGGAAGAGGUGGGAGAUAAAGAGCUCCCCAUAGGCCCGAGGACCAAAAAAAUCGGGGGAUUUAUAGGUUGUUGGCGAUCAACUUGAUCACUAAAGUUACACAUAUGCGAAUUCAAGUUGUAUACCUCCCCAGUCACCGUUGAACAAGUGACAAAGUUAAAAGUUUGUUGACUCACGACAUGGGUGCCAUCUUCCGCAACAAAUGCCACAUGGCAGUUGAUUGCUGGAAGAUGCAUAGCCCUCAAGUUCGGGCAAGGUGAACCGACAGCUUUUGGUCAGUAUACAAUAACUUUUUUUAAAAAAAAAAAAUCCUUUACUUAUUUGAUGUGGUAGAAAACUAAACUAUUUGGUUAUUUUUUAUUUUUUAUUUUAUGGAAUUCAUGCCAACUUCGAGUGGGAUAAGCAUAACAAGGCUUGUCUCAAGUACAUAAAUUGGAUGUAGAGGGAGCAGUGUAAGGAACGGAAGUAUGAGUUACACAAGUACUACUAGAUUUGUGUGUCACAUGAGGCAGCUCCUACGAGUCCACCCUAGGAAUUUGUGGAGAAGGUGGGCGAAUGGCAAUGGUUGUGCACUCAUUUUCAGAGUACAAAAUUUCAGGUAAUUAAAUUUUAUUUAUAUUUCAAUAUUAGUUCAAUUUUAUAUUUCUUUACUUAAGUUUAAUUAAUAUUUUUAAUUGACAUAAAAAAGCGGCGACAAAUAAAUGUAACCUGGAGAAGAAAUCAUACCUUUAUCACUUCGAUUCUCGACCCCUAUCUUACCGGGUCGAGGAACAGUGGGCGAUUGGUUCACAUUUCCCAAAGGUCGAGGUUUGGGGGGAGAUGCAUGCCAAUUAUGGCAACGAGGUUGCGAACAACAUUUUUGUAAGUAUUCUUUCUAUAUUUUAAUUGUAAGUUUCAUGACAAUAAGUAAUGUUUAAAUUAUGAUCAAUAAUCUUAAUUGGUUUCCCUUGCUCAGAAAUUGAAAUUCAAUAUAUACUAAAACCCAAAAUCAACUAAAUUAUUGUUCAUAAGCACAGUCUUCUCCUGAUUUUACCCUUGCACUUUUGCUCUAAUUCUGAUUAUGUCUUCAGACCUCAUCAUAUACAUACUGUAUUUCUUUAAUUUUUUUUCCUUCUCCUUUUUCUCUUCAUUCUUGCUCUUCUCCCCGUGACUCAACUAGCGACAACUGACCACAAAAAAACCAGAAACAAACUAUCCUCACACUCAAUUUAACCUUCAAAUCAAUUUCUAGAAAUUCUUAGCCGUUUUCGAUUAAGCAAUUAAGGUUCUGGUGCCCCAAGACCGACGAGCUGUUUUUGGCCGAAUACCGGCGAAUCAAAAUUCCACGUUACCACCAAUCAUCUCUUAUUCACCUUAGGGACUAAAAACACCCAUUGCAUGCCUCGAUUUGUGACGGUUCCAGUGUGAUACUUUAGAACCAUUGAGCUUCAUGGUUACAACAUAUGAUAGGCCAAUCAAUUGCCUAGAACGGGGAUUUAAUGGUUAAAGUCGCACUAAUUCAAAUCUUAAAGGUAUGCCUAACCAUGUUAUGUCUUGUUUUAAAUGCUGGAUAAAAUUUUGAAUAAGCUAAAUAAGGAGUGCAGGGGUUUCUUUUGAGAUACAGAUAGGAGGAUUUUUCCCAUUGCUUGGGAUAGUGUGUGCACUCCCAAGAAAUUCAGUGGCCUUAGAGUUAGGUAUCUAGAUCAAUUUACUAAUGCUUGUCCAGUUAAGUUGGGUUGGAAGGUUCUAACGGAUGAGAAUAAUUUGUGGGUGAGGUUGGUCAAAAGUAAGCACCUUCGAGAGAAGGGUUUUUUGGGAAAUAAAGUUAGACAAAAUUAUUCUUUGGCUUGGAAGAGCAUUUUGAAGAGUAGUGAUGUCAUUUUUAAGGGAAUUAGGUGGAGAGUAGGUGAUGGCCAUGACAUAUUGUUCUAGACCCACAAUUGGGUUUUUCUUUAUCCUCUCUUCCAUAUCUUACCUGAUAUUGAUUCUCAAAAUAUUGAUUGGAACUUGAGAGUGAGUGAUUUCAUAAUUAAUAAUUGUUGGGACAUGGAGAAACUGGUCCAAAUAGUCUAUAAUGACGUGAUGAAAAAAAAUAGGCAAUAUUCUAAUUCUUAUUCUUGACACCAAAUAUAAGAUCAUUUGAGGUCCUACCACUAAAGGUAAAUUUUCCAUUAAAUUCAAAACUAGGAUCCAAAAUGGCUCUCUGGUGCAGUCAAUUAGACAUAAGGUGAUCAAUAAAAUGUGGAAGCUCAAUAUUCCUCCUAAAGUUAAAAUGUUUGCUUGGUUGUUUAUUAGAGAAAGAUUACAAACGAAGAAAAAACUAAGUCUUUUUUUGUCUAAUAAUGAUAGUCUGUGCCCUUUUUGCAAUAUGGAUGAAAAGAACCAAAUGCAUUUAUUUUGUUAAGUGUAGUGUUUCUCGUCUCUUUGGAACUUGGUUUCUAACGCUCCUGAUGUUGUUUAUACUAAUAACUUUGUUUCUGUUGUUGAAUGUAUGGGUUCUCUAAAUCAUGUGGAUAAGGAAGGUUUGAGUGAGCUCAGUUUGUUUUUAUUAUUAUGUUGGCAAAUUUGGCAUGAUAGAAAUAAUAAGGUUUUAAGAGGAGUUAUGCCUACUCCAUGGAGAUCUAAAUUCUUGGCUCUGUCUUUGGGUGAAAGAUAUUCUAAUUACAACAAUAAUUGUUGUUUAUGCAUACUUAGGGCCUCCGUAUUUAGACCUCGUAUAAAUACUCAGGGGACUCAAGUGUAAUUAUGUAAUAAAUGAAGAGGCAAAUAUGUAAUAAGUGAGAAGCCCUUAGUCUAUAAAAGGGACUCCUCACCCUUACAAUGAGGAGGCCUGAGAUCCCAAAACAGAGGUUCUCAUAUUCAGAGCUCUCAUCCUCACAGAGAAGCUCUCUCAAACCCUCUCUUUCUCUGGGGGGGGACUCCCCCUCACCCUUGUAAUCCAUACAUACAGUUAGAGAGAAAUACAAUCAACAUCAGUGUGGACGUAGCCCAAACAUUGGGGUGAACCACAAUACAUCUUGUGUUCUUUACUUUCUUGGACGUAGCUAAUCUGGGUGAACCACGUACAUCUUGUGUUUGCUUCCCUGUCUCUAUCAUUUACAUACUUAUCCAUACUAGUGACCGGAGCAAUCUAGCGAAGGUCACAAACUUAACACUUUCUGUUGUACCAAAGUCCUCACUGAUUUUGUGCAUUAACAUUUGACACCGUCUGUGGGAAACGCUCUGAAAAGCUAUGUCGGCCAUCUCUCAAUUUUUCACCUCCGCCGUGAAUCUGCAAAAACCAAGAACCAAAUCGACCAACCCAUCUCUCCAAGAAACCAGAAAUUCCCUCUUUACCAAAUCAUAACAUGGAAAGAAGCUGAAAUGAGCUUACUUUUUCUUAUCUGCAACCGCUUCCCUCGCCUUUUCCCUUCACUCUUCCACCUCUCUUCUUCAAAAUUCCCCAGCCAUGGCCAGAGAUCCCAGAUCCAUUGUAUCAUGGGGAGCAUCUCGAGCCUCAACGCCUCCUGCUGCGCCCUCACGGACGUCGCGAACGACCACGAACCGCUAUGGACGACCGUGCAGCUCAACUUUAGCAGCGGCUGUGGAAUUCAGUGCAAUUUCGCUUGCGUUUCGAUGGCGAAAAGGGGAAAACAAAGGAACGAGUUUUUGCCGACAUCGGUUCAGAUGUUGAAGCAUCAUUUGGCUAUUCUCGCAUGCGUGCCCAAAGACGUUGCGCUAUUUGCUGCCGGAGCUGUUGCUAGAAUCGUCGCUGAGAGCGUCACGGCUCCACUUGACCGCAUCAAGAUUCUUAUGCAGACUCAUGGGGUGUGAGUUGAGUAACAAAGCGCUAACCAGGCGAUUAGUUUUCUCGAGGCCAUAACAAUGAUAGGGAAGGAAGAAGGGAUUAAAGGGUACUGGAAAGGCAACCUUCCUCAGGUUUUCUACUAGUUAAAUUUCUCAUUUAGUUACAAAUUAAUUUUGAAAAUUCGCCAAAGAAGCCGAGAAAAUCAUUCACCAUGGCAAGUAGAUUGGGAAGGAAGGAAGUCCACUUCGCAAACCUAUCUAUCAAGCUUCUGAUGCCCAACAACUUCACCAACAUCAUAGAAAUUGCUCUCAAAACCAUCUCAUCGGAAUCGUCCAGCAGGACCACAAUCUCUCAUAUAACCGGUACACUAACUUGGGCCAGCUCUUUUGGUUCCCGAACCUUACAUUCCUUAACCUUUCCAACAAUGAUUUGAGCACUCUGCAUUCGUUUGCUUUCUUCAACCUCAACAAUUUGUAGCACCUCGACAUCUCCAGCUACAGAAUUUCUAGGAGUCUAAAGCCCAUAUCUGUUUUGCAUCGAGACCGAGUCACCUUCUUUCGAGACUCCACGUGGCUAUAAAGGUGCUGGAGAACGCCAGGGACGUCGAUUAUGAUGACGCGGUGCAAGUGUUUGAAAAUCUUUCGAGAUUGAAACAUCCCAACCUGCUGCCUCUCUCCUGUUACUGCAUCGCAGGAGUAGAGAAAAAGAAAAAAAAAGAUGUGAGCAAAAUGGAGAAAAGCCGAGACAGGAAGUAGAAAGCAAGCAUGGAUGCCCACCCAUUCCAUUAUCUAAAAAGAGGGCGCGCUGUCGACCACCCACAUGCAAAAGCAAAGAAUAAAGGGAAGCUUUACUCUGCGAGAGCACAUGGGAAAGGAAAAUAAAAGCAGAAAAACUAAAGCAAAGCAGAAAAACAAAAGCAAAAGCAGAAAGUAAAAGAAGAUAAAAAAGCAGACAUAAUUGCGAUGGUGAUGGCAUGCAGAAAAGGGAAUCAUGGGAGUGACCCAUUGAGCAGAGGGUCGGAUUUAUUUUUGAAUGAUGUGAUUUAUUUUUCUUAUCUUUCGAAGACAUCUGCAUAACCCCAUCAAAGGGUAAUAAAAAAAAAACAGCAAGCCCAAAAUAAUGGGUUGGAAUGUUAUGUGGAGGGCGAAUACCCAUAUGCCUAAAAGAGCCAGGCCCUCUAUUAUCACCAACCAGGUGAUCAAAAAUACGUUCAGUACUACAAAAAAAUUAUUCGGUAGCCUGCUGUUAUUAUCACCAACCAGGUGAUCAAAAGUACAUCCAGUACUCCAAAAUUAUUUGGCAGUCUGCCACUAUUAUCACCAACCAGGUGAUCAAAAGUACAUCCAGUACUCCAAAAUUAUUUGGCAAUCUACCGCUAUUAUCACCAACCAUGUGAUCAAAAGUACGUCCAGUACUACAAAAAAUUAUUCGACAGCCUGCCAUUAUCACCAACUAGGUGAUCAAAAGUACGUCCAGUACUUCAAAAUUAUACAUGAGCAUUACGCAUGUCAACCAUACAUAAACAUUCAUGAGCAUUACUCUUGUCAAUCAUACAUAAACAUUCAUAAGUAUCACUCAUGUCAACAUUCAUGAGCAUCACUCAUGUCAACACCCAUGAGCAUCACUCAUGUCAAAUCUACAUAAACAUUCAUGAGCAUCACUCAUGUCAAUCAGCUUCGAAAGCUUCAUAUACAAAGAUCCGACUUCAAAAGCUUCAUUUACAAAAGCUCCAAAGCUUCACCUACAAAGCUUCAGUGCAUGGUAUACAAAGACCACCUCCGAACAACCGCCACUUCGGCCCAUACAUAGAUUGAAUUUGAAGUCUCCAGCCAACAGGCUCUAUUGAUUGCAGACUUAGGGGACUACACUAUGUACCAUAUAUUGGGCCUCAUAAAAAAUACUUGGGGGACUUAGCCAAUUAUUUAUGUACUGAGGAGCGUACCCUUAUUCUUUAAAAGAGACUCCCUCACUUUCAUUAGAAAGCACCCAUUAUUCAUGUACUGAGGAGCAAGCCCUUAUUCUAUAAAAAAGACUCCCUUACCAUCAUUAGAAAGCAUCGCCGCCAGCUGAACAACCGCCUCGCUGCGAGCAUCACUCUUAACCCAUCAUUUAUAUAUUAAGGAACAAGCCUUUAUUCUAUAAAAGGGACUCCCUCACCAUCAUUAGAGAGCAUCGCCACCCGCUGAGCAACUGCCUCACCGCGAGUAUCAACUCUAGCCCAUCAUUUAUGUAUUGAGGAGCGAGCCCUUAUUCUAUAAAAGGGACUCUCUCACCAUCAUUAGAGAGCAUCGCCGCUUGUUGAGCAACCACCUCGCCGCGAGCAUCAACUCUAGCCCAUCACUUACGUAUUGAAGAGCGAGCCCUUAUUUUAUAAAAGGGACUCCUUCACCAUCAUUAGAGAGUAUCGCCGCCUGCUGAGUAACCGCCUUGCCACGAGCAUCAACUUUAGCCCAUCAUUUAUGUAUUAAAGAGCGAGCCUUUAUUCUAUAAAAGGGACUCCCUCACUUUCAACGCCACAAAGUCGAGGCAACCAAGGCAACAUAAGCCACAAGCAAAUCAACCUCGCAACAUGUGCUACUUCUAGUUGAGCAUCAUUUCAGAUUGGGCACCGCCUCAUAUCGAGUAUUAGUUCUAGACGACAUCUAGUUACUUCGGCCCACACAUGGACUGAAUUUCAAGUCUCCAGCCAAAAGACUCUCUUGACUGAAGACUUGGGGGGCUACUGUUUGUACCAUACUUAGGGCCUCUAUAUUUAGAUCUCGUAUAAAUACUCGGGGGAUUUAAGUGUAAUUAUGUAAUAAAUGAAAGGGUAAAUAUGUAAUAAGUGAGGAGCCUUUAAUCUAUAAAAGGGACUCCUUACCUUCACAAUGAGGAGGCCUGAGAUCCCCAAACAGAGGCUUUCAUAUUCAGAGCUCUCAUCCUCACAGAGAAGCUCUCUCAAACCCUAUCUUUCUCUGGGGGACUCCCCCUCACCCUUGUAAUCCAUACAUACAGUUAGAGAGAAAUACAAUCAACAUCAGUGUGGACGUAGCCCAAACAUUAGGGUGAACCACGAUACAUCUUGUGUUCUUUACUUUCUUGCAAUUUCAUGGUCGGAUUUAUGUUGUUCCAAGACCCCUUCGGUUUUGUGCAUCAACAAGUGUACUAAGAAGAUUUCAAAUGAUGAAUUGACAAUUAUUAAAUGGCAUCCACCGGAUAAGGAUUUUGUUAAAUUAAAUUUUGAUGGUUCUAUAGUCGAGGUCAAGGUAGCGGAUAGCUUUGCCAUCAGGGAACAUAAUGAAAUUCUUAUUGCUAGUGGGGAUUUAAAUCUUGACUGAGCCAUUAUUUUCGAAGUCGAAGCUAAAGGUCUAAGAGAGGGUCUAAUGUUUGCCCUUAGAAAAGGUGUGUCGAAGAUCACGGUGGAAGGCGAUUCUAAGCUGGUCAUCCAGGCUGUGCAGGGAGUGUGCUCGAUGAUGUGGAAUCUAGAGCAUACCAUUGAAGAUAUUAAAUGGACACUGACCAAAUUUAGUAUCAUCUAUUGGAACCAUAUCUUUAGAGAGGCAAACUUUGUUGCAGAUACCUUUGCUCGUUAGGGUCUUCUAAUAACUGGUUGUCAUUUGUGGGAGCAUCAUGUUCCUCCUUUUGCUUUAGAUGCUCUUCGUUUUGAUUAUGGUAGGAAUGGUUGUAUCAAAGGGUUUUCUAUGUAUGGUUCUUUUGGCUAAAAAAAAUAAUAGCAUUAUGUCAUUUGGCUAGCUAAAAUAGAAAAAAAAUUAUUAUUGAAGAUCUUCUAAUGAUUCUUACCAUUCUAUUUGAAAGAUUUUAAUAUUUUGAAGUAAUUUGUCGUACUAAUUAGUAUUUGGAAUAUAUUUAAAUUAAGAUAAAAUAUUUUACAGCAAAGUACAAUGGCGGAGCUAGGAAUUUUUCACCGGGUGGGCUAGCUUAAAGAUUUAAAAUCUUUAUAAACAAAGAAACUUGAUACUAUAUUUUUCACAGUAUCAGCUAGCUUAAGAAAAUUUUCAAAAGAUGAGCCAAGAAUUUUCGUUAUUAAAUAAAUACGUGCUAAAAUUCAAACAAAUUCAAACAUAUACAUUUACAAGAAGUGAUGAGAAAAAGGAUGUAAGAAGAAGAGAUGAUUUGUAAAUUGUAUUAUAUAAUUUUAUAUAAUUAAACUGUGAGAAUUCGGAUUAAUGACUAAAUAUAUGGUGGGCUACAUUAAAAAAUCAAUUAAAUUUACAUGUAAAAUUUUAUUUUUCACUAGCUACCUGGGCUAUAGCCCAGGGUAGCCCUUACCGUGGCUCUGCUAGUGGCAAAGUAUAUUUAAAAAUUGAUCUUUGUUUGUCAAACAUUUAAAUUAAUAGCACAUAUAGUAUUAUGCUCUUUUUGGUUAUUUUACACAAUUACAGUUGUUUUAUAAAAAGAUUUACCAAACACUGUAAUAUUUCUUUUUUUGCCAAAAGUACCUUUACAACUAUAGUUUACCAAACACAUUACUACUUUAUUUCACAUCUGUUUAUUUUCACAGCACAACAGAAGCAUUUUUUUUUAAAGCACAACAUUACUAAACUAGUCCUAAGCUCAAUAAGUUAUUGAAAAAAUAUAUAAAAAGUUUAGUCUCAUCAACCAUGGCAAAGUCACAAAUAGAUCUGUAGAAAAGUUUUCUUCUUUGAAUAGAGUUAAGCUCAACAACAUCUUCUUUCUCUUUUGAAUAUUAUAUAGUUGUUUUUCGAGACCUUUUGUUUUGUCACAAAUUACAAUAAUAUAUUUACAUCAUGAGAGUAAAGAAAUGCAUGGUUGCGAACUCUUCUUUCCUAAUACUUGGUCUUCCUACAAAGUUUAACAAAACAUGCCGCUUCCUACAAAGGCUAAGCAAAAGUCGGCCAACUACUUUGAUUAGAAAAAGUUUGGCCGGCUGUCUAACUUUCCAGGGGGCUCUCUGACCAUGACUACUUUCCUUCAUGAUUAUUGCCAUUAUUUUACUUGUUGGUCCGAUUAACACUCUUUGUUUUGGUUGACAAAGGGUAUACAACGUGAUAGAAAACAAAAAUUAUAUAAUAAUAUCACGAGGUCGAGCGACUUAACUAUACUAACAGUCAGUAACAGACAAUAAAGAGAAGCUUUCUCAAAAUGGAUGAAAUCCAAAUUGCAGUAUAAACACAAUGGGCAAAGAGCUCAUCUACAAAACUCGUUUUGCGACGAAUAUAGAUGCCAAACUUCACAAGACUAACUUCAAUAAAUAAGAUCACGACAAAUAAUACUCCAAUAACUUAUAAAAACAUACAUUAAUUACGUGCAAUGGUCCAUGUAAAAUGAACAAUACGUUACUAAUUUUGUAAAAUAUUAAUUUACGACGGUCCAUGUCUUUUAUUUUCCCUUCAUGCAUGCUCCUAAGACCCCAUUGCCAGCAUGCGGGUGCCUUUUGGAGAUCAUAUUUUUGCUUUUAAAUUAAUUAUUAUUUCCCUAGAGUUUGUUUAGCUCUUGAUAUAAAUAUAUGAAAAAAAAAAUCAGAGAAUUGAUUGUAUCAAAAUAAAUGCAUUUAUAAAUUUUGUGUUCUCCUGGCGAAUAUAUCAUUUGCUUAAACUUAAAAAAAAAAAAAAAAAAAAAAAAGCCAUAUCUCGAGAAAAAAUAAUCCAAUCUUUAUCUUUGGAUUAUGUUCCUUGAGGUGCAAGGAAGCUCAUAUCUAAAAUAAUGUCUUGAUAAUAUAGAGUUGUGAUUGAUGGUGGCCCUAGGAUAGAAAUAAAAUGGCUAUGUGGUGAGCAAGAACAAUACUGGCAGUGAUGUAGUGAAUAGUGGCUAAGAUUUGUGUAUAUAUCAUUAUCCAGUUAUACUGGUAACUGUUUGAAAUUAGAUAUGAAUAUUUUAAUGCAAAUUAUGCAUAAAGAACCAAUUUUCAAUUCAACUCACCAAACUCUAGUCUAAAAUAGUAUUUGUUUGUUUAUACGACAAUGGGAAGGCGUAUUCUUUUGAGGAUGUGAAGAAAUAUCUCACGUAAAAAAUUUAGCACGUUUUGUCAGUGUUUAUAUAAUGAGUUAAAUCACUUCUCAUAUUCUAUUUAGUUUAUUUUUAUGAUGAAAAUCAACUUCAUUCAAUUCUCACAUCAAAAGUUUAUUAGGUUUUGCCAAGAUUUAUAAGGAUUUGAACAACUUCUCCUAUUUCUGCUUAGUUUAUUGUGAAAACUUAACCUCAUUCAAUUUUCAACUUAAGUAUAAUGAAACGUGUACACUGUUAUAUCAAACAAGUAUUUAACUAUUUAUUAGAAGAAUUGAUGCACAUUAGCACCAGUGGUCUAGUGGUAGAAUAGUACCCUGCCACGGUACAGACCCGGGUUCGAUUCCCGGCUGGUGCAUUUCUUUAACUCCGCCUAUGUAAUUUUACAUUGCCGGUCCCAAGCCCGGAUAAAGGAGGAGGGGGAGGGCGUCAGGUAGUCGACAGCCGGCACUCUAUGAUCACGUCGAAUCCUUAUGAAAAUGAAUCCAGAACAUUAACACAAUACGUUGAAAUGAAGGAAAACUUAUUUAUUGAUAUCCCCGAUAAGCUACAAAUAUGUACAUAUACAUGAGUCAAAAUAAACAAACAAGAUGGAGCCUUCACAAAGGUUGCUUAGGAGAAGUCUCAACAGUCGGUAGAGCCCCAGAAAGAGAAGGCAUCGAAGGGGGAUCAUUCGGAGCCUCAGUACUGGACAGAACCCUAGAAGGAGGAGGCAUCAGAGGUUGAUCAUUUGGAGCUUCAUUACGCGGUACAGCCCCAGAAGACAAAGGCAAUAAAUGCCUUUGUAACAAACCUACAAAUCUCUGAUGAUCAAGUAAAACCUGACCAUCAGUUUCCUUCAUCUGGUCAAGCUUCCUCUUCAUGUUUGUAGCAUAGUCAUGUGCGAGCCGGUGCAACUGUUUAUUCUCAUGCUUGAGCCCUCUAAUCUCCUGUUUGAGACUCAUCACUUCGGGCGCCAAUGAUUCAACUUGGCGGGUUCGAGCAAAUAGGCGUUGGACCAUAUUAGACACAGAACCUGCACACUGAACACUGAGAGCCAGCGAAUCCUUAAUAGCUAACUCAUCAGACCGUUUGGAAAGUAGUCUGUUAUCUUUGGGAGUGAGAAGGUUCCUGGCCACCACCGCAGCGGUCAUAUCAUUCUUCAUCACGGAAUCCCCAACGGUAAGAGGACCAGUAGGGGAGACGAAGGAUGGGCCCCAUAUGUUGUCUGGAGAAGGCGGGGCUGCCUCUUCAACAAGGUUCAAGUCAAAACGACGGUCGGAGGGGCCAGACAUUUUCAAAGGUGUUGAAGAGAGAAGAAGUCGGACAAAUCAAGAUCUUAGAAGUGCAAGAAUGGAGCUUCUACUGGUGGAGAUUCAAGUGUGCUUUGGAACUUAAUGCCAGCCCCUAUAAAAAGCUGCACUCGACAGAGCUUCAGACAUCGAAGAGGCGCCUGCUCAGAAAUCGAAGAGGCGUUUGCUUUCUCAAAAGCUGGGCUGCUUAGAGACCACGAGGGUGAUCUCAUAAAUCGAAGAGAUGUUUGCUUUCUCAAAAGUUGGGCUGCUCAAAGACCAUGAAAGCCGAUCUCAGAAAUCGAAGAGGCGCUCGCUUUCUCAAAAGCUGGGCUCCUCAGAUACCACGAGGGCCGAUCUCAGAAAUCGAAAAGGCACCUACUUUUCCAGCCUUGUCAGCACCUGUCACACGCACACUCAGCUUUGCGGAAAUUAUGGGUAUUCUGUCGAAGACUUCUGGGGAAGUAGAAAACACAUGAAUCUUACUGUCCAAUCACCCACUUCCCACACGCAACAAUAGCUCAUGGGUACCACAGAUAACUUUGCCAAAGUUCUCUGCCAAAGUUGAGCACGUGAAGCUUGCAGCUCCCACUACAUCGCUCUGACCAAGAAGGGUAAAAGAAUAGCAAAGAAAGAGCACUAACAAAGUUUAGACCCAUAAAUUUUGAAGGUCUAGCUACCAUAUUAUUACCCACAAGGGUAAAGGAACAGUACCACUGCUGGAUAAUUGGAAAGUCCCUGUGUGUCAACCUCUGUGCCUCGUGGCAAGGUAGACUAGCGAACAUGCCCAACCUUUACUCACAUUCGAGAAAACACUCCCAAUAAGAUUGCUUGCUCCAAAAUCGAAGAGGCACCGCCCUCCGAAUCUCGAGAGCCAGACUCCCAACAUGACUACUUUCUCAAAAAUCGAAGAGAGGGUAAAGGAACAGUACCAUUGCUGGAUAAUUGGAAAGUCCCUGUGUGUCAACCUCUGUGCUUCGUGGCAAGGUAGACUAGCAAACAUGCCCAACCUUUACUCACAUUCGAGAAAACACUUCCAACAAGAUUGCUUGCUCCAAAAUCGAAGAGGCACCGCCCUCCGAAUCUCGAGAGCCAGACUCCCAACAUGAUUACUUUCUCAAAAAUCGAAGAAACACUGCUCCCCGAAUCUCGAGAGCCAGACCCCCAGCAUGAUUGCUUUCUCAAAAAUCGAAGAGGCAUCGUUCUCCGAAUCAAUCGAAGAGGCGCUCGCUUUCUCAAAAGCUGGGCUGCUCAGAGAUCACGAGGGCCGAUCUCAGAAAUCGAAGAGGCACCUACUUUUCUAGCCUUGUCAGCACCUGUCACAUGCACACUCAGCUUUGCGGAAAUUAUGGGCAUUCUGUCGAAGACUUCUAGUGAAGUCGAAAGCACAUGAAUCUUACUGUUCAAUCACCCACUUCCCACACGCAACAAUAGCUCAUGGGUACCACAGAUAACUUUGCCAAAGUCUCUGCCAAAGUUGAGCACGUGAAGCUUGUAGCUCCCACUACAUCGCUCUGACCAAGAAAGGUAAAAGAAUAGCAAAGAAACAACACUACCAAAGUUUAGACACAUAAAUUUUGAAGGUCUAGCUACCAUAUUAUUACCCACAAGGGUAAAGGAACAGUACCACUGCUGGAUAAUUGGAAAGUCCCUGUGUGUCAACCUAUGUGCCUCGUGGCAAGGUAGACUAGCAAACAUGCCCAACCUUUACUCACAUCCGAGAAAACACUCCCAACAAGAUUGCUUACUAAAAAAUCGAAGAGGCACCGCCCUCCGAAUCUCGAGAGCCAGACUCCCAACAUGUUUACUUUCUCAAAAAUCGAAAAGACACUGCUCCCCGAAUCUCGAGAGCCAGACCCCCAGCAUGAUUGCUUUCUCAAAAAUCGAAGAAGCAUUGUUCUCCGAAUCUCGAGAGCCAGAUACCACAUACCACUUUUUCAAAGUGCUCUGACAGAGUUAAAACAUGUGAAGCUGGCAGCUCCCACUACCGUGCUAUGACCAAGCAGGGUAAAGGAAUAGCAUUACUACUUGUUGUUAGGGAGACUCCUAUAUAUGUCGACCUCCAUCCCCAACGGACAGGAAGACCUGCAAAAAUGCUUAACCCUUCCUCAUAUCUGAGAGGGCACUCCUAACGAAGCCUUUCGAAAUAUUCAUCUUUCUUUCCCCCCGAUAAUACCUCUGCAAACAAGCUAUACUAGAGCAAGAAUAUCUCAUAUCAUCAGGGUUAAAAGCAAGAGUAUCCCAUAUCAUGCUUUUUCCCUGUCUUUUCCUUUAGCCUUGUUUUUACCUGCAAGACAAGGAGAAAUAGAGCAAUCAUUCAGCACUUGAAAUCAAGCUCCGAACUAGGAACUGACUGCCUGGAACCCCUUACCUGAUUACUUACCUGGCAUUGCUCUCGAGUACUCAUCUUCAACAUCUUAUGUUUCCAGGGAAGAUACCGCAUCUGCUUGAGGAACAGAUAGGGCAAGUGCGAAGGAUACAAGGAAGCAUGUGGAGACAAGCGUAACAGCACACGUGCCUAUACAUCCAUUACUCUGUCAAAAGCAAAAGUAUCCCAUAUCAGCAGGGUCGAACGUACUCUAGAUUUGAUGGACUUAUUUUGACCCUCAAAUUCUUCAGUCGGCCUUAUACUCUGGAGGAACCAGAAAACCCUCCAGCUCAGUUCAAGAAUAAGCCUGUGGAAAGUUACUUCUUCAAAAGCAAAAGUAUCCCAUAUCAUCUCUUCUCAUUUUUUUUCUCUUUAUCCUUCAUGCUGCUGCAAGAUGGGGAGAAGGUGAACAAUCAGCCGGAGUUCUGAUUGCUUACCUUGUCUGUCACCUCUUUCAGCAGAUCCCCUAGCUCGGCGACUUGGGGGACUCCUACUACAUGGUUUGUAUCGCGCUUGACCAAGCCUGAAACUACAAGUAAGCUUCAAGUGAAAUUGAUACAUUACCUUGUGCAUCUCCACCAGUUAAAGAUACCACCCCUGGAUGGAGGAAGAGUACUUCCAGAGAAGCUGCCACAUCUACCUAUGAGACAGAUAAGGCAAGUCAAGAUGAUACCACACUCCGAUACUUAGAAGUUUCGUGAUUACGAGAUCAUUCUCC